rnacentral:lncRNA from 1 species
UUUUUUUUUUUGUGUGUGAGUGUUUUUGUUUCUGGGUUUAGUUAAAGAUUGGGAUUGUGUUGGAUGUUUUUGGUUUCUUUUGUUGUUAAAAAUUGAAGUUUUGGGUGUUUUUUGUUUCUGGGUAUAGUUAAAGAUUGGAUUUUCAUGGAUGUUUUUGGUUUCUUGUGAUGCUAAAGAUUGAUUUUUUUUGGGUGUUUGGUGUUUCUGGGUAUAGUUAAAGGUUGUUUUUUUGGUUCUUAGUUUUUGGAUAUAGGUAAAAGACUGAUUUUUGGUGUUAGUGUGUUUUUGGUCUCUGGUUGUAGUUAAAGCUUGGAUUGUGCUGGAUGUUUUUGGUUUCUUGUGUUGCUAAGGAUUGAUUUGUUUCUUUGUGGUGUUUGGUAUUUCUGGAUGGUGUUGAAUAGUUAAAAAAUGAUUUUUUUUGGUUUUUGUUUUUUGGUGUGGUAAAGAUUGAGUUUUUGGUUUUAUUUGCUAAUGAGUCUUCCUUGAGCCAAGGGUCUAUCGGAGACCACCUCUCUACCUCCCAAGGUAGGGGGUAAGGUCUGCGUACACUCUACUCCUAUGUUGCUCGUACUCUCCAUAAAUGUUGCUGCACCAUGUCGUAUCCUCCAAAGAUGCACUACUUUGGAAGGAUCUGACACGCACCAUCGGCAUUCAUGAAGAGUCCAAGCAACAUAGCUCUACUCUCCCCAUAGUGGGAUUGCAGAGGUAUGUUGUUGUUGCUAAUGAGUCUAGUUGAAGAUCAAAUGUUUUUGGUGUUCUGUUUUCAGGGGUAUAGUUAAGAUUUGAACUUCUUUUGGUUUUUGAAUAUAGUUGCAUGGUUGGUAAGGAUCAUAUAGCCAACCCCAACUUGCUUGGAAUUUGAAGCAAAGUAAUUGUUGUUGUUGUUCGAGUUGGGAUUGAGGCGUAGUAGUACUAGUAAUUGUCGUUUCUCUGUAGUUAGUUCCCUUUUAUGGGGUUUUUAUUUGUAGUCAAAGAUGGAGUUUUGAAUGUUGUUUUGUGUUUGUGAAGGCAAAAGUUGUGCCGGAUGAGUAUGAUGAACGGACGUACUGUGUAUAUGGAACGGAUGCUUCUACAGCCUAUGGAUUGGCGGCAUUUGGGUUGCUUCUGAUUAGCCAAACGUUGGUCAACGGCAUUACUAAGUGCUUGUGUUUUGGAAGAGGAAUGAUGGGUGGUAGUUCUACUACUUGUGCCAUUUUCUUCUUUGUCUUCUCCUGGUAAGAACAUAGUUACUGUUCUCUCUCUUACUUUAGUUUAUUUACAUUCUUUUGUCUGGUUGUAGUGCGCUUAGCCCCUUGAGUUAACAAAAUAUUCACGUGAUUUAGGCAAUACAACAACAACAACAACAACCCAGUGAAAUCCCACUAGGUGGGGUCUGGGGAGGGUAAGUAGUACGCAGACCUUGCCACUACCUCGUGGAGGUAGAGAGGCUGUUUCCAAGAGACCCUCAGCUCAAGAACAUCAAAUCUAAGUGACAGGAGAGAUAUAUGCAACAUAACAGCCAAUACAAAAGAUAGCGUAUAAUCAACCAAUGAGACAAUAACAAGAAAGAUACAGGGAGUGAAACGCAGUAAACAGCAAAAGGCUAGGACUGCUCCAGACUUAUUAGCAAUUUAGAAGCUCAACGAAAUAAAUUAGAAGAAAGGAGGGACAAAAAUUGGUGUCAACACCCUCUACCGCCAUUACCUCGCACCUCCUCACUGGGGCGUCUGCACUCCGUCUCUUCACAUGUCCAAAUCAUCUCAGUCUCGCUUCCCUCAGCUUGUCCACCACAGAGGCCACUCCCACCUUCUCCCGGAUAACCUCAUUCCUAAUCUUGUCGCUCCUAGUGUGCCCACACAUCCAUCUCAACAUCCUCAUCUCCGCAACAUGCAUUUUAUGAACAUGUGCGUUCUUAACUGGCCAACACUCCGCUCCAUACAACAAGGCCGGUCUAACUACCACUCUGUAGAACUUACCUUUAAGUUUCGGUGGAAUUUUCUUAUCACACAAUACUCCAGAGGCCAGCCUCCAUUUCAUCCAAGCAGCCCCAACGCGAUGUGUGACAUCCUCGUCGAUGUCGCCACUCCCUUGGAUUACAGCCCCAAGAUACUUAAAACUUUCCUUCUUAGGAAUGACUUGUGCGGCAAGUCUCACUUCCAUAUCUGUCUCAUCCAACACAUCGCUAAAUUUGCACCCCAAAUAUUCUGUUUUGGUCCUACUCAACCUGAACCCUUUGGACUCCAGCGUUUGUCUCCACACCUCCAACCGCGCAUUAACUCUGUCCCGCACGUGAUUUAGGCAAUGAGAUUGUUUAUGUUGAUUGGCUUAAUUGUUAUUUGUUAGUUUAAGAUUGGUACUUCUGCAAUUAUAAACUAAUGAAGGCAUCAUAUCUUGUUGAAACUUAAUCUUGCCAUAGAGUAACCGUAUGUUGGAUUUAUUGGAGACUCAUAGGUGAAGAAGCCCGAGGAUGAUUUUGUGACAAAGAAGAAUGAAAAAGGUUCAACUGUAAUUUACAGAUGGAAAAACAGAACUAAAAAAAAAACUAGAAAGUCUCGUGUGAUUAUGUUAGUACUCCCUCCGUCCCAUUUUAUGUGGCACCAUUUCCUUUUUGGUCAGUCCCAAAAAGAAUGUCACAUUUCCUUAUAUGGUAAGUAUUUAAAGGUACAAUUCUUCUUUUACCCUUGUUGGUCCCACUUAAUCUUAAAAUAAUACUCCAAUACAUUUAUGAGGAGAGAGAAAAGUGAGUCUACUUUUUAAAGGGCAAUUUGGUAAACAUUUCAAAGUCUUCAUUUAUUUCUUAAACUCCGUGCCCCGUCAAAUGUUGCCACAUAAAAUGGGACGGAGNNNNNNNNNNNNNNNNNNNNNNNNNNNNNNNNNNNNNNNNNNNNNNNNNNNNNNNNNNNNNNNNNNNNNNNNNNNNNNNNNNNNNNNNNNNNNNNNNNNNNNNNNNNNNNNNNNNNNNNNNNNNNNNNNNNNNNNNNNNNNNNNNNNNNNNNNNNNNNNNNNNNNNNNNNNNNNNNNNNNNNNNNNNNNNNNNNNNNNNNNNNNNNNNNNNNNNNNNNNNNNNNNNNNNNNNNNNNNNNNNNNNNNNNNNNNNNNNNNNNNNNNNNNNNNNNNNNNNNNNNNNNNNNNNNNNNNNNNNNNNNNNNNNNNNNNNNNNNNNNNNNNNNNNNNNNNNNNNNNNNNNNNNNNNNNNNNNNNNNNNNNNNNNNNNNNNNNNNNNNNNNNNNNNNNNNNNNNNNNNNNNNNNNNNNNNNNUAUUUAAAGGUACAAUUCCUCUUUUACCCUUGUUGGUCCCACUUAAUCUUAAAAUAAUACUCCAAUACAUUUAUGAGGAGAGAGAAAAGUGAGUCUACUUUUUAAAGGGCAAUUUGGUAAACAUUUCAAAGUCUUCAUUUAUUUCUUAGACUCCGUGCCCGGUCAAAUGUUGCCACAUAAAAUGGGACGGAGGGAGUAUAUUUUUUGUAUACUUUGUGUUGUCUGAAAGGCACAAAAUCUGUUUAACCUUUUUCUCCGUAGUUGGGUGCUAAGUAUUCCAUAGUUUCAUUGGUCACCUUACUCUUCCUGUCUGUUUGCACCAUUUGAUGAGGUUCUGUACCCCUUCCUUUCUUUCACGGUUUAGAUUUCAUUUUGUUUGAGCCAAAAUGGUGCCACUAGAUAAAUUCUGAUCUUUAUAGCAUGCAUUAAGGUGUGAUCGUACUUGUGUAAUAGGUAAAGAAAUGCUCAAAACCGACAUCUUUUUUUUGAGAUAAAAAAAAAGUUAUAUUGGUUUUGAGCAUUUCUUUACCUAUUGCACAAGUACGAUCACAACUUAGUGUGACGCUAUAAAGGUCUUUUUCACCGAGGAAAUUGAUUCAUUAAGUUGUUUGUAAGUAGCUGUGACACCUGUAACAGGUGCAAACCAUUAAUGGAUCUUUGAAUUGCCACUUGCCCAAUCUUAUCUGCACUAAAAUAAGUGGUUGAAUAGAUAAAAAUAAUGAAAAUAUUUGAAGUUCCGCUGAGAUGAGUUUUGACUUCUUUUUUUGUACAACAGUUUUAGUCUGGUUAUCUCAUGAUGUAUGUAUACACAAGUUAAUUAAGAACAAACACGAAAAGUAAUUUCCAUAUAUAUUGUAACUGAAUUUGAAAGAGGAAACUUCAACAAUCUGUGAUGAUGGUUUUUUGCCCUUCGGAAGUAACUUUCAGCCAGUUCUGCUUAGUGUUUGCUUUGCUUUUGUGUUCAGUUAGGCAGGGGUGGAGCUAGUGUGGAGCGUACGGGUUCGGCCAAAUCCAAUAGCUUUAGUCCAAAUUUUAUAUUUUUUUCUUUAGAAAUAUGUUAAAUAUGUACAAAUUAUUUAGUUUAGAACCUAUUUACUUGAAAGAACUAGAAUUCCGAACCCAUAAGCUUUAAAACCUGGCUCCACCUUUGUCGGUUAGUGUUUCUAAAUUAGGAGAGAGAUGACAACAACAAUAUACCCAAUCUAAUCCCACAAGUGGGGUCUGGGAGAGCGGUGUGUACGCACACCUUACCCCUACCUUGUGAAGACAUAGAAGCUGUUUUCGAAAGACCCUCGGCUCAUGUAAAUUCUACCACUAGUUAGAUGGAGUUGGCAUGAAUUAUUUAGGUCUGAUUAGAGCAGAUUGAUUCAUACCAUCGACCCCUACUUUCUUUGGGAGUAAGGUGUAGUAAUAUCGUUGUUUGAUGGACUUAGAGACAAGUAAAACAGUUUGUUUUAGACAACUAGCAUACACACUGCCCUAGCAUAAACACAGAUGGUUUUGAUGGCGAUGAUUGAAUGUGAUGACGAUAUGUGAUAUCUAGUUUAGAUAGUUGGCUAGUGCAUGAGGCUAUUCUCAUUGGUUUCGAUGUUGACGUGGUGUUUUUGGUAGUGGAUAAAAGCAACAAAAGAUUUAAUGAACAUUUGUAUGUAAAAGAACAUAAAGUGAUACUAAGAUGCCAAAUUGAAAUUUAAUAAUCCAUUACUUGAAAAUUGAAAUGAUGAAGACGUUAGUUAAAAUGCAAACAAUAGGCAAAAGACCUGUUAAAUAAACAUAUGAAGAAAUAAGAAUACAUUCAACUUUGUUCCCCAGAAAAUGAUUCACUCUUGUUUGGCCAUAGUUUUUGAAGAUGAAACUUGAAAAUUUCAGUUUUUGAUGUUGUAAUUUUUGGAAUUUGAAGUUGUAGAAGUCCCGAAAAUCCAAAAACUAGUCGAGCCACUUUUGGAAACUUGAAAAAUACUUGAAUAUGCCGUCAAAUUUCAUGGCCAAACAGAUAUUUGAAGAUAAAUGUCAAAAACUACUCCCAAAAUCUAUUGCCAAACGCUAGCGGAAAAAAUGAGGAGGGAGCAAGGGAGAGGGGAGUGAGAACACUAACGAAGUUCUCGGAGAUAUAUACUUUCAUUACUUUAUACACAUUUCUUCUCUAUCACGUUCUUUUUACCUUUCGGCUCCCACAGUCUGGCCAUUGCCACGAUAGUUACUUUUUCAGUAAAUUCAUUUAGCAAAGCUGUUGAUCUUUUUUUAAUCCCCCUGCUUAACCUCCCUAUCUAAAACAGCCAUGGAAACUUGAUGGCAGUAGGAUUAUAAAAAUCUAUUGCUUACUUCCUCUUUUGAAUGACAAACAGGGUUAGCUUUUUAGGAGCAGAAGCAUGCUUAUUGGCAGGAUCAGCAAAGAAUGCAUACCAUACAAAGUAUCGCGCAGCUUUCCAAGUUGAAAGCUUGUCAUGUGCCACCCUCCGAAAAGGUGUAUUUGCUGCUGGCGCUGCCCUGACCUUACUAUCAAUGAUCGGAUCCAUUUUCUACUACUGGAAACACUCAAAGGCUGAUACCGGUGGAUGGCAAAAACACCAAAAUGAAGGACUUGGAAUGGCAGCAUCUAACUACACCGAAUCUACUGAAAGAAAGGGCUGAAUCCGUGUUUCUUCUAAAAGGUCCGUUACAUUUACAAAUCGAACAAGAUGUUUCGAUGAGGAACUUAAACAUGAAGAGUUCUAGUCCUUGGUUUGGUUUUGUACCAUCCAUAGUUUACAUACAUAAUAUAUAUUAUAUAUGAACGUAGUUCGUAGGAAUUUAAGUAAAUUCGUAUUAAGCAGCAUUCGCGUCCACGUUGUGUUUGUAAUAGCUUUUCUGAGGAGGUUAUUAUAGGUUAUGAGCUCUAUGGUUUUCUUGGUAAUGAACUUGAAAAAGGGUACAAUUUUACAGUUUGAAUCAAUUUUCUGCAGUUUAUUUUGUAAUUCUAUGUAAGUGAACAAACUAUGAAAUGAAAGAAUGGUAUUCAGUUUCCUUAUUAUUUUUUUUUGAAUUUGUUUCGAUAGAAUGUUCAUUACUUUGUGUAGAUUUUGAGUGCUACAAUGUUUGUUCAGAUGUAACUCUGUUUGUAUGAGCUUGCUCAUAUUGCUGGUCUCAAGUUUGAAUAAAGGAGGAAGGUUAUAGUAGGCUAAUAACCAGCGUAAAAUUUGUCAAUUCAUGAUGAAUCCUCGUAAUAUUUGUGUUUGUUGUAUAUAUUGAGAGUUAUGAUUUCUCAUGAUAUAGAAUGCAUUAACCUACAAAAAGAAUAUGGUAAAUUAGGUGAUAUAUACAACACAUAAAGCUCAUAAAAUGGCAAAAUUUUGAUGAAAAAUACUUUUAUAAAUAUUUAGAUGUUUCAUCAAGCCAACGGGUUCUGAAUGAUCUCCCUUGUGCUUAACCAUCUCGAAAAAAUAAUAAUCAUAUAAUCCGUUUGAAAAACAUGUCCGAGUUACAAAAUAUAAAUUUCUUGCUCAAGUCUUCUCACAUUAUAUUCCUAGCUUGGUUUGGACAUGGUAAUUGUCUAUCUACAAUCAAUUUCAUCUAACCAUGAAGAGGUAUUAAUUGUUCGAUGGAUAAGAUAUCUUUAUCUUAACCAGAGAUCUCGGGUUUAAAUUUGGAGAAUGAAAAACUCCCCGUAGGCAACACUUUCCCAUUAAUAAGACCUACACAAUGUGAAUUCAGAUUAGUCGAGCCAAGUGGUUGAGAUAUAUGAAAUAUCCCUUCUUGAUGUUGAACUAAUUAUUGUAAUUUGUACUAUUAAUCAUGGGUUAACAAAGCUUAAUUAGUUGGUUAGAGACAAAAAAAUGAAUGAAAUAACUCAUAAUAGAAGACAUCAUCAAAAAGCACAUUUGCUAUUUGAUCAAACAUAUUUUUCUUGAAGAAAACUAGAAUUACAACAACCAACAUUGGUAAACUUAUAUUAUAUUACCUAAGAGUAACAUUUUUAAGAUAAUUAACUCCAAACAUUAACACCAACAUUAAUAUAUUACUAAUUGAAGUACAACAAUAAGGAUAUGUUACACUCUUCGACAACAAGAAAAUACACAUCUUAGUUAUAUCUUAAACAUAAAAAGCUAAUUAUAGAAUACAACAACAAUGUAACAACUACAUACGCCUUAGUCCCAAAUAAGUCGGAACUGACUAUAUGAGUACUCCUCACUGACCAUGUUACUCCAUAUAAAAUCAUCUUAGCCCAACAUUAAAGGCUAAUUAUAGAAGACAACAAACAACUACUACAUAAACAGGUAGGGGUCGACUAUGACUCUUCAGUACUGGUCGUACCAUGUUACUCCAUAUAAACUCGUCUUAGGCCAAUAUUAAAAGGCUAAUAAUAUAGAAAUUGGGCAUUAGUAUUCUUAGCAAUUUGGGAAAGGGGAACCACAAGUAGAAGCAACUUUCUUGGCAUUAGGAGAAGAAAUCAUCUUUUGAAGUCUUGGAUCCUUCAUGUAUUUGCAAAGACAUGGCCUUUGUUCUUUCAACUUUGAGCAACAAAUUGAACUUGGAGUUGUGGAUGAUGUUAUGGCAUUUGCACAUGCACUUAGUUGCAAUGGAUUGCAACUCACAUAUGCUUUUGUUACCUUAGUUUCUUGAACAAAAACCAAAAAAAGUACAAUUGCAAAAAUAGCCACAAACCUCAUUGUCAUUUUGGAUGAUCUAGUGUGUGUGUGUAUGUUUGUGUGGUAAGUGAUGAGAGUAUUUUUAUGUUGUUGUGUGUGUUGUGAUGAAUACAUUGACAUGUAAGCUCUAUUUAUAGAAGGGGAAGGUCAUAGGCAUCCAAACACUACUAAAAAAAUCACUAUUUUCACAUUGAAAUUUUCCACUAAAAAAUGUUCAACGACUAUUUUCACAAAUAUUUUGAUUGAAUCAGUGAGAAAAGAAAAUAAAAAUAGUAGUGUUUGUCUACGACAAAAUUAGGAAGUUUCCCGACAUUUAAGUGAGAAUCUGUUUUCCACCAUGUGUUUUACCAGUGAGCUGUUUUGAUGAGAAAUAAGUGGGAAAAUCAUGUUUUAUAGUAUAAUUUUUUCCAUUGAUUUAUUAAAAAACCCUUUGUUUCUAGUAAUGAAUUUUUUAUGUUUGACGAGUUCAAGUUUUAAGGCUUUUAGUACAGAUGGAAUAUCGUAUUUUAAAAUUUAUAGGUUCAUAAUUUUAUAUUAAUCCAAACUUAAUGAGUUUUCAUGUUUAUAUCUAUGUUUCGUGUAAAAAAUAUUAAGUAAUAUUUUUAAGUCAUAUAAGUUAAAUAUAUACCCAAAAAGUAAAAUAAAAAGAAGAUUUUCUUUUUCUCCCCUCCACCUUUUUUUCCCUUAAUCAUGUGCUGGGUUAAUUAAAGUAAACUAAGGAUUUAUUUUUAACAAAUCAUUUGAUUCUUUCCACUUUUUAUGCUAACAAAGAGUAUAUUAUAUAAAAACUAUAUAAUACUGUUCUUGAAUUUUUUUAUUUUUUGGUUUUGUGGAUUUACACUAUAAAAAGAAAAUAAGAAUUAGCGAUGGAUAGCAUCUGUCGUUAAUCCUCUUUUAGCAACAAUUUAAGAAAAAAAUAUUAUAGCUAUUAAAUAUUUAGCAAUAGAUAAACGAUAAAUUUCGUAGUUAAUCUCCCUAGCUGAAUAUAUGUAUAUCUAUAAGUAAAAAGUGGACUAGAUUUAGCCAAGUAUAUAAGUAGUUUAAUUUGAUAUUUUAGAAAAUGAAGGGCUUUAAAGUUAAUUUUUGGAAAUCAACAAAAAUUCAUGUGCAUUACAUAAACUCGCUCAUGUACAAUAAUUUGCAAAUCACAUAAAAAGAUAAAUUUUAUUAGAUAAAAUUUGACAUGACAAACACAACUGAGAAGAUGUCGAUAGAGAUUUUAAAGUUACUCACACAUUAUUAGUAAUAAUAUCGGCAUGCUUACCAUUAGUUGAAGCUAUCAUAACAAUCAUGAGUUAUGAGCAAAUAUUAUGAAUCAAUAAAAGCUUUUUAUUUUCACCCUUUUUUAUGUGGUCCUAUUCUUUGGUCGACCGGAAUUAGAAACAAAUUUAAAAUUUAUGAAUUCUGAAUUCUAAUCCUUUAAAAUUAUUAUAUUUUAAUACAAAUAUAAUACUUGAAUCAAAAUAUUGUGUUAUAUCGAAAUCCCUUAUAUAUAUGGAAUUGUAUUGAAAGGUUAUUUGAUGUAAGUGUUGCACGAUAAAAAAUUAUUAACACCUGAGGUUUAUAUUUUAAUCUUUAUUCAGAUAGAUGAAAAAAAUUAAUUAAUAACAUAUGAGUUCAUCCAAUCUUAAUAACUUUUGAUUAAGACUCUCUAUAUAUAUUUUGUAAAAAAUCAUCAAAAAUGAAUACAAAUAAUAAAGUUGUACCCCAAUAAAAAAUUAUAUACAUUGUAGAGCAUGUGACAAUUAUUUGCUCUUUCUAAAAUGUCUUGAUUUUAUAAACAGAUUAAAAAGGAAAGAAAGAUAUAUAAAAUGAAAUGUAUAAAACAUUUAUAGGCGUCAAUAUUUGAUGAUAUGUAGCAUUUUUCUUUAUAUUGUGAUUAAUAAGUCUGAGUUAACGAGAUAUAUGUCUCCCCAAGUAUUAUUUUACUUCCUGAUCAUAGUUAAAACUAUUCCUUAGUGAUUAUUUAUCUUUCACUACCCGAGACCUCUAGAAAGAAAACAUUCUUUGACGAGAAAAUUAUUCUUGAUCUAUUUUUAACUUCGAUUUAUAACCCUCAGAAACUCUAACAGUGGAUUAUAUUUCGAUGAUUAAUAUUUGAAAGCCGAGAAAACACUAUCGACAUAAAAAAACUUAAUAGUCCAAAUGAUUAUAUAUAUACACACAAACCUCAAUCAGAUUUAUCGACUAUAAAUAUUCAGACCAAAGGGAAAUAGAUGAAGACCUCGAAGACAACACCAUUGAAAUAACAAUAAACAUGAAAGGAAUGAAUAUUCAUAUAUAUAUAUAUAUUUAUAUAUUUACGUGAUAUUAACAUCGAGUGCGAAUAAAUAUUUGAGCUAACAAUAGUGUCUCCUAAUCAUGAAGAAGUCAUUUUUUUUCGGUGAUGUGAUCCAAUCCAUUAACUUUUGGGCAAUGGCAUGCGCCUACGAUAUAAUAUAACACUUUAUUGUUGUCCUAUUUUAUUUUAAGUCAACAUCAAAUAUGAUUUCAUCAUUAUAUGAAGGGCCCAAUCUUGGCAUGCAUUACGUACAAAAAUUCUUUCAAUAUUAAAAAUAUACUAUAUAGUAUAUAUACGAUUCAAAUGCACAAAAUAUCUUGUGUUCAUGUAGGAUGUGAAAAGAUCCGUACCCUUUAGUAGUAUAUAUGACUUUAUAAUGUAUGAAGUAUCUUGUGUUGCACGAUGAGAAAAAAUCGCAUCCUAAGAGGGAACGUAAUGUUAGGUCCAUAUAUAGUCUAUAUAUUCUGAAACAAACCUAUGACACAUAUAUAGGUCGCACGAAUACACCUUUACCAUAGCUUUGACGAUUUCCUUCGAUGAGACUUAAUCGUUAAUGUUGGUAAAAAAAAUUUAUGACUAACACGUGACAAUAUAUCAUUAUAUAAUAUCAAGAGGCAUGAUAAGAUCUUGAGUUUGAGUUCGAGUACUGAAAAUACAGAAACUUCCGAUAAAUAAUGCUUUUUCAUCUGCGCGACGUGAAUCUGAAUUAGCGAUCUUAGGUUAAAAAAGCAUAACUUCAACCCACCCCCCACUCCAAAACUUGAGUUGAAAUUCAAUGAAUAAACAAAUGCUUUUAAUUAAUUUUGGCAAUGAUUAGUCUAUACAAUAGUUUUUCACAGGACCUAAAAUGUACCAUAAAUAAGAAGAGUCAUUAAUGAUUACUUCAUAGUAGAAUUUUGAUACCCUAUAACUUUUGAUGAUUAAUAAGAUCACCACCAUCAAGGUAAAGUAAAAAUGUUUUUUGUUAAGACAAUUUAGUGGUCAAAGAUCUUAUCUAAAUCUUUGAUUAUAUAUUUUUAUAGAUAUAAAAAAGCCAAUAAAUAUGGAAACUUUUAUUGCAAAAUGUUGACAUUUAAGUCUAAUGUUCAGAUUGCAUAAAUAAAUUGGAAAAUGACAUGACAUUGAUCUAUGUCUUUGACUCAAUUACUUUAAAUUAAAUUUUACCAACAAAUUAUACAAAAAUAAAGCUAGCACUACUAAAAAGAAAAAAAAAAAAAGAUUUAGCGAUGGACAAAUUUCAUAAUUAAACAACAAAAUUCAUUGCUAACUCUAUUUAGUGGCGAAUUAGCAACAUAGUUUUAUUAGCUACGAGCGAAAUAACGCUUUUAGGACCUCUAUUUAAAAAAUAACCAAAUUGUAUAAUGUAUUUAACGUCAGUGCAGUCCAAAUGUCCAAUUCUAACCGGAAGACUGAAGUUUAAACUGUGGCUACCUAAUGCAAUAUCUGCCUGGUAUGAUCCGUUUGAUUCUAAAUGGGCCUACAAAAGAAAUUGGGCCUAGUUCAUAAUUUGGGUCAUUUGCACUUUUGUCCUAUUUUGUGUUGGUCUUAAAUUUUUACCCUUAAGGUAAAUAAUUUUUUUAUGGAACACAGGUUUAAAUUUCUGCAUCAUAAUAUUCCAUAGUUAUGCUUCACGCCCUUAAAGAACUUAUGUUCCCUAAGCAUAAGUUCGAUUUCUGGGAGUAAAAGUUAAAGAUCAACCUAUUUGGAGAACAAAAACUAAAGAGUAAUCCAUUUAAAUGCUAAAUCAUGCAAUUGCAGCCAGUAGUGUACUAAUGUAAAUUUUUCCUGUUUGGUACCGCUUUGGAGGUCUAGACUAAUUCAGAUUCACGUUGCAUACGACUGAUUAAAAAGACAAACACUUUUUAUUAGUGGCAGAAUGAGAAAUUUUACUGAGAGGUGUCAAAAUAUAAAACAAUAGAGAGACACGUAAAAUUGAUUCUGGCUAAACAACAUAAUUUAUACAUAAAAUCGCUCCUCCACUACUUCUUAUCAAGAUUUUUUUCAUUGUGAAAAUUUGAAUCUGAAACCUCUAAGUAACGAUGAAGAGAUUUCCUAUUCAUCCCACCACAACCUUCGCUGGUAAGUUAUACGUUAAAACAGACACACAUGCCAAAGAAGAUGAAUUAGUAAUUAUCUGAGACCUCUAAGUAACAAUGACGAGAUAUCCUAUCCAUCCCACCACGGUGGUAACCUAUAUGUUAAAACUCACACACAUGCCAAAGAAGAUGAAUUAGUAAUAUAAUGUUAUAACAACAAAGAAGCUAGCUAGCUUAGAUUUCUUAUGUGAAGCAAAACUUCAAUGCCAUGCUAAAGCUAUUCCUUUCUUUGCUUGUUGUAUUGUAUGUAUACUUACUUGUCUUCCAAAAUUUAGAAUUACAACAAACUAUAAAUAAAAUUAAAACCAUAGUACUUCUCUAUUAUAUUCAAACUCCAACAAGUUUCAACAAUAUUACUACUCAUAAUAAUUCAAUAUUGUUCAUAAAAUUCAUAAAACAAUAUGCCAAUUUAUUCUUCUGAUUCUGAUGAUCCACACCCUUCACAUUCAGCACCCACAAGAAGAUUUUUGGCUCAUAAUAGGCCAAUGCAUGCAAUUCUUGGAGGAGGAAAAGGUAAUAUUCAUUUAAUUUUUCUUCAUUUUGUUUAGAAGAGAGGCGGAUUCAGGAUGUUUUUGCGUGUUCAAUUGAAUUCAUUAUUUUCGAUCUGAACUAUGUAAACAAAUAUGUCUUUCACUUGAAGCAUGUUGGGCUAAUUAGUACGAAAAAAUUCUUAUAACAUGGUGUGAUAAUAUUUGUUUUGUGCAAAAUCGAUAUAAUCUUCUCCAAGAAGUUUAAAAUCAUUAAGAUUAUUCCAACACCGUAGAAAUAACUCCAUCUUGUUACUUUUUGGCCUUGUUUUUGAAAAAUAGAUACAUUAUUGUCACAUGAGUUUCAAAUUUCACGAGUGAGUACUGAUUAGGACAUGAUCUUGGGAGGUUUGGAAAUUUAAAACUCGAAGAUAUUGACUAUUUUUCAAUCACAAACAAGGAAAACUGAAAGUGUCUAUUUGCAAAUUUUAACCCUAGAUUUUUCUCAUUAAUUUUUAAUGUGAGACUUUGUUGAAACACUGUGUCUAGUUUUCUCAUGCAUUAGACCAUAUAUUCUAAAGAAAUUCUUAAUAUAGCGUGAUAAUGUCUGUUUUGAGUUAAAUUCAUAUAAUUUUCUUCAAAAACAACAUAUAUCAAUAAAAUUAUCCCUAUACUUUAUAUGUAACCUUUUUUUUUAGUUUUAAAAUUAUGAGACUUUAUUCGAACACCAAUAUAUAAGUCUAUAUUGCAUGUUAUUUCUUUGUUCUUUUUUAAUAAUAUGUUUUUUUUUCUUUCUUUUUUUUCUUUGACAGUUGCUGACAUAUUGUUAUGGAGAGACAAGACAAUAACAGGAUCAAUUUUAAUUGGAUUCACACUAAUUUGGUCUCUUUUUGAAGUUAUGGAGUAUAAUAUUGUGACUCUUUUGUGUCAUAUUUCCAUGAGCAUCAUGUUAAUUCUCUUCAUUUGGUCUAUGGGAGCUGGAUUUGUUGAUUGGUAAAUUUUCAUAAUAUAUUCUCGAAUUUAACUUAUAUACAUCGAUAGUAUAAAAAUAGUAUAUUAUUAGGUCAAUUUUAUCUAUUGUAAUAGAUAACUUGUCUUAUUCAUCCCAUCAGAAUUAUUGGUAUUACGUUGGAAAUUUCAAUUUGAGUACAGGGAUUCAUCUAUUUUUAUGAAGGGCUAUUUGAUGAUCUGAUAGUGUGAAAAAAUCAUAAUUUUUCAGGAAUCCUCCCGAUUUUCGAGCAUUUAUGAUAUCUGAUUCAACAUUUAGAUGGUUAUGUGGGAAAUUCAACUCUAUAUUGGUGAAAUUCUAUGAAAUUUCAUCUGGAAAAGAUUUCAGAAAUUUUUUCUUGGUACAUUUUUAUCAUAUGCAAUUUCAUUUAAUUCUUUUAUUUUUAUUUUCUAUUGAAAAUUUUGUUUUAACUCCAAUUUUUUUGGUUUAUUUGGACUUAGGCAAUCACUUUCCUAUGGAUAUUAUCAGUUAUUGGAAGUUACUUCAGCUCUCUGAAUUUAUUGUACCUAGGUAAGUUUUGGAAUUUGGAUUUUAUUUUUCUUUUAUAAUAUACUCCCCGUUUCAUUUUAUAUGAACAUAUUCGAUUAGACAUGAUUUUAAAUAUGUCAUGAUAAUUGUGUGAUUAUUAAAUCAUGCCAUCAAUGGGUAAAAUGAAUAAAGUUAGAUCUUUUUCAAAUACAGAAAUGUCACUCUUUUCAAGACAAACUAAGAAGAAAGGAAAUAAUCUCGAAGAAAAAAUGACACAUUCUUAUAUCUUCUAGAUUUCUCAUGAUUUCAGCCAUUACAACCUCAGAAACAUCACGACAUAUUUAAAAUCACAAAUUCAACAAGUCCUCCCCCCCCCCCCCCANNNNNNNNNNNNNNNNNNNNNNNNNNNNNNNNNNNNNNNNNNNNNNNNNNNNNNNNNNNNNNNNNNNNNNNNNNNNNNNNNNNNNNNNNNNNNNNNNNNNNNNNNNNNNNNNNNNNNNNNNNNNNNNNNNNNNNNNNNNNNNNNNNNNNNNNNNNNNNNNNNNNNNNNNNNNNNNNNNNNNNNNNNNNNNNNNNNNNNNNNNNNNNNNNNNNNNNNNNNNNNNNNNNNNNNNNNNNNNNNNNNNNNNNNNNNNNNNNNNNNNNNNNNNNNNNNNNNNNNNNNNNNNNNNNNNNNNNNNNNNNNNNNNNNNNNNNNNNNNNNNNNNNNNNNNNNNNNNNNNNNNNNNNNNNNNNNNNNNNNNNNNNNNNNNNNNNNNNNNNNNNNNNNNNNNNNNNNNNNNNNNNNNNNNNNNNNNNNNNNNNNNNNNNNNNNNNNNNNNNNNNNNNNNNNNNNNNNNNNNNNNNNNNNNNNNNNNNNNNNNNNNNNNNNNNNNNNNNNNNNNNNNNNNNNNNNNNNNNNNNNNNNNNNNNNNNNNNNNNNNNNNNNNNNNNNNNNNNNNNNNNNNNNNNNNNNNNNNNNNNNNNNNNNNNNNNNNNNNNNNACCCAAAAUCCAACAAGCCCCCCCCCCCCCCCCCAAAAAAAAAAAAACUCGUGACAUUAUGAUUCGUAUUAUGAAGGGUUUUUUUAAUACUAGUGAUUUUGUAAGUGGUCAAGAGAUCUGAAUUCAUCGAUUUAUUUUGAAUUGGUUUGUAGGAUUUGUUUGCCUAGCAACAUUACCAGCUUUAUAUGAAAGGUAUCAUAAUGAGGUGGAUUAUUUAGUAAGGCAAGGUAACCAAGAUAUGAAGAAACUAUAUAAUAAGUUUGAUACUGAAGUGCUCAAUAAGAUUCCAAGAGGACCUGUCAAGCAAAAGAAAAAGUUUUGAGUCAUUUCUCAAAAUUGGAAAGAAAAAAAAAAGUUCAAGAAAAUUGGCUGUGGAUUGUGUAUAAAUUAAAUUAAAUUAUGAAAAAAUGUAAUUGUAAUUUAUGUAAAUUGUUCAAUGAUGAAAGAAUUGUGUAUUUGUUUAUGUAACUACCUAUAUUUUGAUUACAUUAUUAUAUGAAAGUAAUAGGAAAUUGUCAAGUUUAUAUUUAAAUUUAGAAUUCUUUGGUUAAAAAUAAUGAAACUAUGGAAAAAUAUUUUUAAUAGAUUUCACCUGGAAAAAAUAUAAUAUUGAAAAUAAACCGAUGUUGCAUUUAAAUAAGAGAAAAAAUAAAUUCACAGUUUGAACUUUAUUAUUUUAUCUAAGAUAAUAUAAUUCAAAUAUUCUGCAUUCAUCGAUUUAACGUAAACAUCUAUGACAAAAUUGAUACUCUUCUAAUUGUUCUCUUAAUUAUGAGUAAUUAAUUAAUACAGCUGCAACAUCCUCUUUUAUGCCAAAAUCACCCUUACUUAUUUAUUUGUUACUUCAAUGUAACAAAGAGUCAAUUAUUCCACCAAUAUUUUCAAGAAAAAAAAGAACUAUAGAAAAUAAAAAAAAAUAGGUUACAAAAAAUCAAGAGUUUUCAUUCGAAUUCGAUAUUCGAUAUCAAGGCAAUUUUAUUUUGAGGACUCAAACUCAAGACCUCGAUUCGAUAUUCAUUCCAUGCAUAUUAAGGCUCAUGACUUAAUAGUGUGGAGGUGUCAUACAAGAAUGUGAAAAUCUAGAAGUUUCGAUGAAGUUAUCUUUUGUAUGCUAGUGGUUACAAUUUAAACCAAGUGUCCACAUGUCACUGGUCUUUAUUGAUGUUUCCAAUUUUCAAACCUAUAACCCUAAUAUGGAAGGGGUAUACUUUCCACCAUUUUUUUUCUUUCUAUUUUUGUUCUCAACGUCUAUCGAAAACAAUUUUUCUAUCUUCAUAAAAUAGAGGUAAGAAUGUCUCUUGAUACCCCACUUGUGGAACUACAUUGAAUAUGUUAUUUUUGUUCCCAACCCUUGAAUAAUUAGACCAUUAGGGGUCAUUUGGUGCACGGACUAAAUUAUCAUGAGAUUAUUAUUUCAAAAUCCGCAGCCGCUAUCCUUUGAGUGCGCACAGGAUAAAACCUCGUUCCUAUGCAAUAACUUGCAAACCAGACAAGAGAGGUAACCCGCACUAGGCAAGCCCUGUGCGACAAGCUCGACCACAUGAUAUGUAUUUAUAAAUGGAGGAAGUAGAUUUCUACAAAUAAAUUGUACUAUAUGAUUGGAAUUCACAUCAAAUUGUACAACAACUCACUCCAAGUUGUAACAUAUUUAGAAACAAGUUGACAAUAAAUAACUUAGUCAAAUAUGAAUAAAUAAAUAAAUUCAAGUCAUACUAUUAUUAUUAUUAUGUGAUGGUAGUGCAUGAGUAACUUUUUUUCGAAGAAAGAUGACAUGCUAUGAACUUUUUCGAGGCAAACGACCUAACUAAAGUUAUUAACAGAUAAUCCCAAAGAGUAUAUAGAAAUCAAGUUGUUGAACCCCUAAGUCUCAUGAAGGGUCAAUUAAAUAGUGGAUAAUCCCAUAAAUGUGAAUGCUCAUUAAUCAAUUACUAUAAAAUAGGCAGUUGCGAUGCUUAGAAGGCGUUUGGACAUGAUGUGGUUGAGAUUUGAGAAAAAUAAUAAUAUUUGACGUUGAAGUUGAAGGUGAAAUUUUCAUGGCCAAACGCCCCCUAAUCUCUCAAACUUUCCUAUCAAGCUCAACAACUUUUUGCCAUUGUGUGAAUCACAAACAAGAAUCUGUUCACACUACAUUUAGCCAUGUGCCCAAGUAUGCUACCAUUUGGAUAAGCACUACCUAAAAAAAUCAGAACACUUUACCUAAAACACAAGGAAGUUUAUUUUAACCACUCAUUAUCAAGUCUCCAACCAUCUUUAAAAGCCAUCACUUGAUAAGAGAAACUCAUUUUUUUGUGAUAAGAAAGUCUUGUCAAACUGCUCUUAUCAUAACACACUUGAAAAUAUCAUCCCUUAUAAACCACUCGGACAAAAUAUGGUUAGGGAAUUGAGAGCAACAGGAACAAGGGGUGUUGAAGAUAUAACAAAUGUUGGCAUUUGGAGUCUCUGGUUGAUGAUUUUGGUUUGCUUGUGUGUCAUUUCAACAAUCAUUUUCUCUUGUGCAGACGGUGUUUCUAAAGAGAAAGAAGCAACAACUCAUACCGAUAACUAUGGUGCUGGAUGUGGUGCAGGCUGUGGUGCUGCCUGUGGCGCCUGACUAGUGAAAAAGGAAAUAGUGAGAAUCAAAUCCACGCUUAUUGCGUGGAAGAUGACUCCCACUGAUACCACUAGACUAUAAGUCUUGCUGAGAAAUUUCUUUCCUUCUGCAUAUGCUCUACUUGUAAUGGGGGAGGGGGCGAGUGAUAGCUCGAUUACAUGUCAUUGUAAUACUUCGAUGGCAAUGUUCAAUUGUACAAUUCUUAGUCAGCUAUUUUUUCUGAGUAGACUGUAAGCAAUACCCCAGGAAACAUCAUAAUGAAGAAAAAAAAGGUUAAAUCAACGAUUUGGGUGUAAAAUCAACAGAAUCUGAUUAUGUUUAAAACCAAGAACUGUUUAAUAUACAUAUGUUAGUAAGGAAACUCAACUCAGAGAACAACAAUUCCACACAUUCUCAGUACUGUUGAAACUCGAAAGAGCCAACGAUGAAAAUGGAUAAAGCUUUCUGUUUUUUUCCUUUUUGGCGCUUAUUUUCAUGUUACAUAGAUAGAACUAAUUGUUUAAACGAAGCGAAGUACCAAUGCAGAUACCUGAGUGAAAAUGAUGCAAACGGCCUUACAAGAGUCCUUGAGUCUUUCGAAUUUCAGUGGAUGAUAUAUCUAUACGGAAUUUCUCGACUGGUAUAGGCACAAACAUGUCUUUUAGCUCUGCUGGGAUGUCGAAAUCCUCAAGAACCUACAGAAAUAGACAUGAUAUAGAAUUCAUAAGAGUUUUGAAAAGAUGAAGUGCUAGGCUGCAGAGAGUUUGUUAGUGUACCUUGAAAGUUCCAUUAACAUUUCGACCACCCACUAGGAAAGUACAUCCCGUGUUUUUACAUCCCAGAAGUAUCUCCAACAUCUUUCCAUAGUCAUUACCAUAGUACUUUGGCUGGAAAGAGCAACUUGCAAAGAUCAGUAAAUACACUUCUGGGAACCUUCCUAUUUAUAUAGCAGGUUAUCACCCCAUUUAUCAGCAAAGUUGAUUAUGCAAAAUUCAGAACCUAAAUCACAAAUAAGGAACACUUUUGGUAUUUCCGAGUACGUACUUUUGUUUCAUCUCCUUCGUAUAAACUUAAUCUAAUAUUUGAGUGCUAGUGUUUCUAUACAUGAAUAUAACUUGCAUCAGGUGCUAGUUAGGAGAUACUCUUAGAAACCAGCAGUAUAGCUGAAUGUUCUAUCACCAAAUUUGACAAAAAAAUCUCUUCCUCCCAAUAAUUGUAUUCCCAAACGUUUUAUUGAAUUUACUAAAUUCUUGAUCUCAUGUAAUCUCAAUUUUGUUUUAGCAAAUGAAAGAAGCUUACAUGCACAAGUCUUGCAACUGUGUCUGCACCAAUGACAAAAGCACUUCCAGGAAAAAGUUCUGCUUUCUUGUAAAAAUAUGGCUGGUUAGAUACUAUGACCGUCUUUCCUGCAUUUUCAAAGGCCGAAACUGUUGAAAUUUGCUUUAAGUCACUGCAAUAGUUAAGUAAUUUCGAAUUUUAGUUAAGUUGUUUGAGUUGUUGAGAUAUUUUAGGUUGUUUUAAAUUUCAAAUUAUGCAUAUUAUGUAUUUUAUGUUGGCUAUUCAAAGCCCUCAAUGCUUAAUAAAAUUAUUGAAAGCUAUUGAAAUCCAUUUCAAUCAAUUGAGGGAUAUUUCUAUCAAUUCUUUUUGCUGCCCCAUUUUUAAAAACACCAACAGAAACCAUUCAAACAUCAGCAUAUUUUGAAUAUGAAAACAGGGUAAGAAUGUAAUUGUUAGAAUAGGAAUAUGUAUACACAAUCCUAUGUUGGAAAGCCAGGGAGGAAAAAAGAGAUUGAAAAUAACGAAAACAAUAUACAACAUAAACUUCAUUCGUGCAUGACAUUGACAGAGGAAAAUGCAACUGAUUUUCCAACUAACUUGUCUUAUGGAAUAUCGUAACUUGACUGAAAGUUACGUGUGUCCUCUGUUAGUAACUACUGGUACAACCACAACAAAGAAAACCAUCUGAGAAGAAAACUUGUUUUACAGAGGUAAAGACUAGCAUUGACCAAUAAAUUCAUUCAUAGCUUGGUCCCGCUAGACGAGUUGACCACCCACUGCAUAUAAGAGUCUUGAUUCCUCUAACCAACUGAUAUUGAACAAGUUGCCCUCACAAUAAAUGCAGAGACAGAAAUGGCUGCCCAAAAACUAGUCCCAGUACUUGAUCAAACCAUCCCAACCACAUGUAGCAAUUUUACUUUGUUCCAGAGGAUGCCACUCUGCACCAAUACAGACCCCUUCAUGACACUUGAGAGUUCUGAAGGCCUUACACGAUUUCCAAUCCCAAAACCAGCAUCUGCCUUCACCAUCUCCUGACAAGACAAACCGUCCAUCUGGUGAGAAAUUGACCUGGCAUGCAUAACCAGCGACAAUGUGUCCAGCAAAUCUUUUCUUUUUAUUCAGCUGAAAUCUCUCUCGCGUACUAUAAAUAAGAAUCUGGUUAUCCAAACUUUGUGCUGCAAUCCAAUUCCCAUUUGGAUGGGGAGAAAUAGAUGGCAUGGAAUGCAUAUGGGGUUCACUUAUGUACUUAAUAACAACCGGAAUACCAUAUUCCCAAACACGUAGUGAUUUAUCAUCACUAGAGGUCACAAACCCCUAUUAUUAUCCACAAAGGUAAUUGUAUUAACUGCCCCCAGAUGUUGAUCGUACUCUUGUGUAAUCUGUCCACUGUUUAUAUCCCACUGCACAAUCUUCUUAUCACUCAUACCAGCCAAAAGCACAUUCUGCUUAUCCUCAUCAGGAUUAAGCCUCACCACAUAGGGUAUCUUACCCGUCGAGAACGUUUGAAUUACUUUUCCUGUUUCUGUAUCCCAAUACUUAAUGUGCUUAUCAUAUCCAGCUGUCAAAAACUUUGACCCGUCAUUGCUAAACCAAAUAUCCCUCACUGCCUUUGUAUGCCCCAUGUAAGUCCUCAUACAUUUUCCAGAAUUGUAAACAUCCCAAAUCUUCACCUUUGUAUCCAUCCCAGCUGACAAAAUCAAAUGACCAUGCUUAGGGAAAAACCUAAUAGCUGAAACCCCUUUCGUGUGUCCACUCCAAGUAUGAACUAAUCUCUUUGGUAUAAAACAAUGGUCAUUAGCAGCCUUUGCAUCCUUUGGUGGAGCGAUCCAAAACCUGCCCUGAUAAUCCUUUUCCUCUUUACCAUGAAAUGUGCUCUUUUCAACCAUAGGCUCCGCCUUAUCUUUAUCACCACCUCUUUCUUCACCCUUCUUCUUAGCAUAUUCCUCAGCAUACUUUUUCUGCUCCUCAGAUAAUUCCACUUGUAACCCUUCUUUCUUUCCAACCCAUGGACUCUUCCUGUUCUUCAUCAACCACAUGUCUGUGGACGGAUUAUCAACUUCCGUCAUAUCCACGUCCUGCUCAUCACCCUCCUCCUCCAUUUUUUCCUUCUUUUUCUCUAACUUCCUCUUCUUCUGUUCAUGCUGUGGUAUGUUAUACACAGAAAUAGCAUCACAUCCCUUCAUUUUUUCCAAAUCACCGAUGUAGCUAUUUUGAGAGGGAUCAACGGCAUACUCAUACUUCUGAAAAGUAUUGUACUGCUCGUCAAAUACAAAAGGAUUCAAUGGACGCGUCCUCAACGAACCCUAGCUUGUGAUUUCUGAGUCCUUGAGCUAACCCGUCCUUUGUGUACGGAUGAGCUGGGCCGUAAAUUGGUGCCCAUAGUUGUUCGUACAUCGAGUUGAAUCCAACGAGGUGUUGGGUCGGGUCAAGGGGUUUGGAUUGAGCUCUGGCAGCUUCGCUGGUGACUGUUAGGGCUAGCAUGGUGAUGUCAACUUUAGGGGCAGCAGAUUUAGAAGGAAGCAUUCGGAUUGGGGAAGAAUCAGGCGAAGAAUUUUGGUCGGAAAAUUGGGAAUUAAGGUUUUGUGGCGGCGAUUCAGCGAUUUCAUCGACGGGGUAGGAUUGUAAGAGAUCCAUAUUGGGAUUUGCAGAUAUGUGAAAAUCGGCAAUAUGUCACAACUCACAAUAUGUUUAUACUUAAUUGAGUACAAGCUCUGAUACCAUGUGAGAAAUAUAGGAGACGAGUAUUAUUGAAUUGUGUGUCUACAUUAUUACAUUGAAACCCUAUUUAUAGACAUUAAAUUAGACUCCUUUUCCUACUAGGACACUACAUUAUAAUCCUUUUUCAUCAAGUAGGAUACUAUAUACUAUUUACAUUCUUAUUCCUAUUCUAAGUAGGAUUGUAUAUACCUAUUCCUAUUCUAUUAGUACUAAUACUUAGAUAUGAAACCACUAUGGAUAAACUGUAGUGAAUGCAUAUACUUCUCUCGAAUUUCCUUUUCUUGUUUUCCUAUUUGUAUUGCAUCAAAGACUGAGUGGCGAUUUAUAGAUUAGUUUCUGGAAGGAAAUAACCUCAAAGUACAGUUUAGCAUUUUAAGCCUUUGAGAAGCUUGACAAAGAAUUUAAAAAACAGAUCAUUGUAGCCGUUUUUCAAUUCUUACUAUCUGUGUGUGUAAAGUAUCAUAUUUUAGAAUCUUACCAACUUUUCAACUCUUACUAUCUGUGUGUGUAAAGUAUCAUAUUUUAGAAUCUUACCAACUUUUUCAAAUUGUUUAACACGAUCAUUGAUUUGAGGUAUUUCCAAUGGAGGUUUGUCUGCAUUGACAGCUGACAACUCAAAACAUGGAUAUCCACCACCGCAAAUACUGCAUGAAAAAAUUUGGCAUUCUGCUAUAAGAUGUAAUUCCUUAAGUGAUAAACAGAUCUUUCGUGAUGCUUACAAAAAAUCAAUCUUUUCAAUAGUUGAAAACCAUGUUUGAUGUUAGAAAUGUGUACCUAGUUGCAAUUUCCAAGAGCUUAAGGUGACCAUCAUGCAAUGGAUUAAAAGAACCAGACAGGAUUAUUUUCCUCUCUACAUUAGACGUGUCUGCAAAAUUCCUGCAUCAACAUAUGCAGUGAAUUGUUGGCUUCGGAAUGUGACUAUGUUGAUUGCAUUAACACAUACCACUUGAGAAAGGAUACACUUUGAAGCAUAUAAUCCCACUGAGAAGUUGCUUUAGCUCUUCUUCUUCAUCAAAUUUCUUUUCAUAUUCAUCUGGAACUUCUGAUUCAGUCAAGUCUGGAACAAAAGUUCCUGGAACCUUGCUAGCAUUUGCAAUUGCCUGAACCAGAAGACAGAAGCUAAUAUAAUAAUCUACGGGAUGGAUUUGAUGAAAGUUCCAGCAUAGAAGAAUUAGCAAAUACUACUGAAUAAUGAGUCAAAGAGGAUCUACAGAAAAUUUCAACUGCAGACAGUUACCAUAAUUGUGAAGGAUAACUUUGUAAUAAUAUUUUUAUACAAUGCAUACUAUUUUUUUGACAAAGGUAACAGUUGUGUAUUAAUCUUCAGCACUAAAGGCUGGGAUCCCAAAUUUACAUCAUGGAGCUACAUACAGUUGCGAGUACUCAAAACAAAACAAAACUAGAACCUACUUCAACUUACAAAGAACCUAGGAUAUCUAUAACAACUAUAGGAUCAUCUACAUACUCCAAACUGCACCAAUAGCAAAAAGUGAUUAUGCAAUUCAUUUUGAUCCUGUGUAAGGGACUACUAAUACUCUCAAAGCAUCUCAUAUUUCUCUCCUUCCAUAUGGUCCACCAAAUCACUGCUGGGACAAUCCUCCAUCUGCUUUGGUCUGUACUGCCACUGCCUUCAUUGUUCCAGCUUUCUAUAGCCUGACUUGCCCUUUGUGGCAUGGGCACAAACACAUCUAGGACACAUAUGUAUUCCCCUCUUCAUUAGAUUCUCCUGUGUUAGUACCGCCUCUUUAACUACUAACCAAGUAAAGACUGCCACCUUAUAUGGAAUUUUGACUUUCCAGAUAAGCUUCCAAGGCAAAAAUCUGAGUUGAGUCCCCAUUUGAUUCAGGUUCUUGUAGGCAGAGCUAACUGUGAAGAUACCUUUGCUGUGAUGAAUCCACGUAAGAGUGUCUUCUCCCUCUUUCAAUCCUCCAAAAUGGUCCAGGGUGCCAUAAAAUUCAGCUAGUCUAUCCACCUCCCAGUCUUGUAUCAUCCUUCUGUAUGUUAAGUUCCAUCCAUGGAUGGACCAAACUUCUUGCACAGUGGCCUCAUGUUGCAGAUUCAACAAGUAGACGUCUGGAAAGAGCUGUUUGAGGCUGCCAUUUCCUAACCAAUUAUCGUCCCAAAAUAAAAUCUUUCUUCCAUUGUUUAUAUUGAAUCUAGUUCUUUGAAAGAAACAAUGCCACAAAUUUCUGAUUGAUCUCCAUAGGCUAAUACCAUAGACAGAAGUCACUUCCUUAGUUUUUCCAGUGAUCUAUCUUCUCGUACUUGGCCUGAAUCACUCUAACCCAAAGAGCUGCAAACCCACACUUCGAACUAAAACUCUACUGGUUAUCGGUGAUUGUCUUAAAGUCUCAAUGGUGCUCAAACAAGCAAAAAACGUAUCCACUUAAUAGACUCGUUCAGUUGUAAGAUACACAAAUAAAUAGCUGCAAAACCUAAGAGAAAAUAUUAUUAUCUCCCCGGACAAACAAGCAUGGAUAAAUGAUAGAGGAAACAAGCCCAUUCAAUGUAACAUUCCAUAACACAUUUAACUUUAACCCACCCAAUAUCAAGAUAAUGCAAUAAAGUAUGGCUUCUACUAGCGAAUACUAUCUGGGAAAGUUUAAGUUUUGAUUAUUUUGUUUAUAUAAUACAUUAAGGAGCCUAGUGUUAUAACAUUCAUUAUAUACUAUAAUAAGUAGCAUCUAGCUUUGGUUUUGAUAAUUGGGGAAAUACCUAAAAGGCAGAAUUAAGAACUUUGACUGAAAAACUGGAAAUGUUUAAGUUUUGAUUAUUUACGUUAAGGAGCACAGUUAUAUAAUAUACACAUUCAUCGAACACUAUAAUAAGCAGCAUAACGCACUGGAUCCCAUCAGAACACUAUAAUAAGUAGCAUCUAGCAUUGGCUAUGAAAAUAGAGAAAUACCUAAAAAGAAUUGGAACCUUUGAAUUUCCAAAUUGGCAAUGCACUAUGCAUUUCGUUUAGGUUAUGUACAUUUAGUUGAUUUAACCAGCGCAGUUGUAUGUUGAACUUGUUUAAUUACCCAAAUGGGAGUAUGAAAUGUUCUGGUUCCUCUUUAAGCAAUUCUAUCAAAAUUUUAUACACACCUUGAUUAAGUAUUGACUCGAGACUCCAUCUUCCUGCUCACGAGUUCGCAGACCCUGUAUCCAUCCAUUCAGUUUAAGCAAAUGCAGAACUUCAGUCAUUGAAAUCCAAAGACCCUAAUAUAAAGAAGGUAAAGAUGACUCAAGGAGAAACAUGCAUGAAUAAUACCUUAGUCAAAGUAACCGUCGAGGUCCAAAACCGGUCAGAUGUUCUGGUUGACACGUGAAACCUACUCAUAAAGCACUACUAAGGCUCAGAAAGAGAUCCAAAUUUUGAAGUACAACUGAAUGAGGAAUAAGUUCUCAAAUCAAAAUUCCAGUGCUAGGAAUACCAAUUAAUUGGGAAAAAGGCAUCUUUGUAGAGAUCCAAACAUGGUCCACAAGUGUCUUUGAAGGGAUACAGAUCUUUCAAACUUGAUUAAAAAGGUAAAGUUUGGUGCUUUUAUUCUUCCCUUUAGGGGAUACAGCUGACAGAUGAAAUGAUUCUAAUAUGAACACAACUCAACCACAUUUUCAGAAAGAAGAAUCCUUGUUCUUAACGUCCAUACAUAUAAGAUGUCAACAAAAUUUGUGCUUAGUUGAUACCAACUUAAAAAGUAGGAUGUGCAUGAAAUAUUAGCAUAAGGUUCAUUAACGCAGACAAAUAUACUAUUCCUGACUGCAGAAUCUUUUGGCAUGUCUUCAACCAAAGAGAAAAGUAGUUAUUUUCACGACAUUCUAGACAUCAAGAUCAAGCAGGAAACUGUUGUCAUUAAUAUUAUCUUGUGCUUGAAUGACUACCCUUUAGUCGACCAGCUCCAUUUUUCAAAGAGGAAUAAACAAAUACAUCUUAGCAUAUAUUAUGGUUUGCCUUAAUCUGAUCCAUUUCAUGUUGUCGUAAAAGCAAAUGGUAAUCAGGAUAGUCACCUCUUCUUAUAGAAUAGAAAUCUCACGUGAAUCAUUAAAAGAAAACCAGUUUAUUCCCCUCCUAGUGAACAUAGGAAACAAAAAUGAUAAUUCCUGAAUGCAAGUUGCUCCUAAGGGAAUAAGAAUCUGAAAAGAUAUAUCAGGACAGACUGACUGAUGCUAUGAGAAUACCUAUGAUCUCCACGUUUUGGUUGUGCACUAGCCAAGGCACCAGUAAAACCCACACCUAGAACUGGUGAACCUGUACAAUCAAACAAAUUGAAAUCACGUCAUUUAAAUAAAACAACACAUAUCAAGGAAUAAAAAGCUACUUAAUAAUAAAUGGUGAAACUUUGUAUUACACAUCUAGGUGUAAAAUAGUCAGAUGACUUUGAAUCAAAGUGACCUCACUGUUUUACGGCUAUGCACACAAUCCAAUAUAAAAAUGAGGAAGAACGAUAAAAUUAGGGUGCCUCCUUUUUGUGAGAGAGAAUAUUUAUUAGAUAGAGUAAUAAUAAACCUAUGCGGAUACACCUAGUUACGUUUUUUUUGGUACCCCCGUUGGCUUCUCGGUUGUACCUAUUGCCUUUAUACAUCUUCAGUAGCAAGCACAAGUUUCACACACUAGAAUGUCAUUAUAGCUUGUCAGAAUAGGAAAACCGAAAACCUUCAUCAUUUAUGCAUGGCAUACAAAUUAUUACAUACACAUAUAUCAAAUAAAUCACUCCCGAUUAAUCAAGCAGUCAUCUAGGAUAUGAACCGUCCGUUCAUUGUCUUCCAACCACAUCAAUUUGACACUAGAAAGUUUUAUCUUUCUAAUCGUUCUCUACAUGAUUAACUAUCAAUCAAGUAAAAUCGGCCCUAAACUAGUAAGGUUCAGCAAAAGAUGCAACAUGAGGACUUCCCCUGAGGUUACACACUAGUAUUACGCUCGCCUAAGCAUGCUUAACUUCCGAGUUCUGAUGAGAUCUUUUGCCUUAUUGUUAGUAUGAUCACAUCCCUAGCAUAUUUAAACUAUUUACCUACCUCCUUCUUGCUUGGAACUGACUAUUCUUUGAGCUCACAUAGACACAGUUUUCUCAAAUCUCUUAACUAAACUAGAAAAUUUCUAGAAAUGUAUGGCCAAAUUCGUUUAGCUAAGAGACAAAUGUACAAGAUAACACCAUAAAAUCCACAAUCAAACACAACAUUCCGAUAGAUUCAAAAUCACUACCUGGUUUAGAAAGCUUUAAUGCUCUAUUAUAAGCCAACAAUGCCAUUUCCUCCGCCGUUUGCGAACUAGCAGCUUGAGCAGGAACCUGUUCCAGAAAAAAACGAAAAACACAAUUUCUUAGCAGUGAAAUCGCUAUAAUUGCAAAAUCAAUGAUUAAACUUGAAAAUCAAACUACCUUGCCAAGUAAUUGAAUCAUAGACAUUCUGGAAUAUGUAACUACAGAUUCAAGCACAGUGUUCGAUGCUCCCGGAACUGACAUCAACCACCCCAGCGCCUGUACAAAUUCAUAACAUAAAGUGAUGUUAACAGUUAAAUUCAGCUAAAACAACAAACUUAUCACAAAACAAAUCUAGAGACCUGAGAGGCUCCGCCGGAGAGAUAAAUAACAGCUUGAGUAGGAGACGAAUGUAUAGCUUCCACAAGAGCUCGGCGGCAACAAUCGGUCAUCGUCGCCGUCGCCGUCAAUGGACGAAUACGAUCAGUUCGCUAGAUUUUUUGUCUGCUUUUUCCGUCAAAUUGAUUGCGUCGAAACGGCGUCGUUGGUUGCACUUCCAGAAAUUUAGAAAAUUACCAUAAUGUGAUUAGCAAAGCUCGUUAAUUAAUUGCAUCACUAGAUUAUGUCUUAAAUUUUUUUAAAAAUAAAAUAAAAUUAAGAAUAUAAAUUACUAGAAAAUCAAAUUAAAAUACUUUAUUGCCACAUUAGUUACUACUAUAACAAACACACCGAUAUAAUUUCACAAGUAGGCUAUGAAAAUAAGCAAAUAUUACUAGUUAAGUAUUGGUUUUUCUCUUUUACCCACUUUUUAAUAAAAUAUUAAUUAAGAAAUGUGUUUUAAUAUUUUACUCUUAUCUAUGUUUUAAAGAUAUAAUUUUUUCAUUAAAUAUUGACUAUAUUUAUGUAUUAUCUACCCUAAUUAAAGUGUGUGUCAUAUUCAAGAACAGUUACUACUAAAUAUAAAUGUGAAAAAAAUGCAUGUGUCAUUUGAUGAAAAGCACUCGAAUCACUUCUGAUGAUUGAAUUGUCAACCUGAUCAACCAUGCUUUUAUCUUAAAUUUAAAAUGACAAAUAACUUAAGAUAAUUAUUAUUAGAAAUUACGACAAAUAAUUUGAGCGAGUAAUUCAACAUGAUAAUGUUAAUAUUUCAAAUGACGUUUUGGUUGAUAAUAUAAUACAUCAAAAUUACUAUAUAAUCAAUUAAUUGAAAACAAUUCAAUGACUUGAAAUUUUAGUCAGUUAGUAAAGAUAUAUUUUAAUUAGAAAAAUGACUUAGAAAUUAGGUCUAUUUGACUAUUUUCCGUGACUGCUCCUUCAAUCACGCUAGAUUAUGAAUUUUGAAUAGAUCAUUUGUGAUUAUUUGCAUGUAGAGUAGAAUUAUUAUGCACAAAGUUUAAGAAAGAAUCAAAUAACGAGGUUGAUCGAGAUUUUUCAAGAGAUUGUCUAUGAUGAUGUUAAAUUAGGUCUUAGGCCUAACUCACACCCCAAAAGCUAGCUCAAAGGGAGGAGGAUUGCCCAAGCCUUAUAAGGAGUCCACCCAUCUCAUUAACCACCGAUGUNNNNNNNNNNNNNNNNNNNNNNNNNNNNNNNNNNNNNNNNNNNNNNNNNNNNNNNNNNNNNNNNNNNNNNNNNNNNNNNNNNNNNNNNNNNNNNNNNNNNNNNNNNNNNNNNNNNNNNNNNNNNNNNNNNNNNNNNNNNNNNNNNNNNNNNNNNNNNNNNNNNNNNNNNNNNNNNNNNNNNNNNNNNNNNNNNNNNNNNNNNNNNNNNNNNNNNNNNNNNNNNNNNNNNNNNNNNNNNNNNNNNNNNNNNNNNNNNNNNNUUUUCAGGAGAUUGUAUAUGAUAAUCUACCUUUGUAUUGUAAUUAUUGUAAGCACCAAGGUCACGAUGAAGAUAGUUGUCGUUUGAUCUCGAAAAGAAAUCAAAAUAACAAACAAAUUGAUGAUACCAUUGAAGCUACACCACCAAUGUGAGACUUUUGUCAUUCUUUUAACAAAUGAUCUAUCUUGUAUUGCAAUUAUUGUAAGCACCAAGGUCAUGAUGAAGAUAGUUGUUGUUUGAUCUCAAAAGGAAAUCAAAAUAACAAACAAAUUGAUGAUACCAUUGAAGCUACAAAGGUACUAUCGAUAGUGAAAAGUAUCAAGGUGAUGCGAGAGAAAUACUAAAUGAAAAACGAAAGGUUGUAGAUGUCAAUCAAAGUAAAGCUACUUCGUUAGAUCGGUAGUUGGUUGUUAUCCCUUCUAAGCAAAAUCGUGCACACUCAAUGGAUGUUGUUACAAGUAAUAUUGGUGUUCAAACAACUAUCGAAAAGUAGAUGUCAAUCAAAGUAAAGCUACUUCGUUAGAUCGGUAGUUGGUUGUUAUCCCUUCUAAGCAAAAUCGUGCACACUCAAUGGAUGUUGUUACAAGUAAUAUUGGUGUUCAAACAACUAUCGAAAACAAAAGGGGAACGCCAAGAGUUGGGGUUGAUGCGCCGCGAGUUGGUUCAGGCCAAAAAAUAAUGGAUUCAGGACAUAAACUAAUGGAUACAUCUGAUGUUGAAGAUGCUGAAAAUUCUGGGCAACAUGUUUUGCAAGUUGAAACCAAGAAUGCAACUAAAAUUGGACACUGGUUGCACACAAAAAAUCAACUAGUAAUCCGAGCUUUCCCCGACUAGUCAAAAUAAUUCUGCAUGUAGUGAAAAGGGUGCGACUGAAAAUUUUUAUGACAGUGAGAAGAGGCAAGAUAUUAGUAAUGCCUCAAGAGACCUAUUAUGUUCGAAUAGCUUUGAUGCUUUAUCGAAGACUACUGGAAAGCAAGUAAAGUUAACAGAGAAUGACAACGAUUUGAUCCAAGAAAAACAUGUUUCACCACCUACUUUGAAUAGCAAAUUAAGUCCAGAAGCUCCCGUAUUUGUGCCUAAAUGUGUGAUUGCAAAGAAGAAUGAGUCAAGGGUCUUAGUGUCAAAUACAAUUGAUUUGGGCGAGGAUUCUCUUGAUGAAAAUAAGGAAGACAAUAUGCUUGAUUUUGGCGAGGAUUCUCUUGAUGAAGAUGAGGAAGAUAUGCUGGACAUGUGUNNNNNNNNNNNNNNNNNNNNNNNNNNNNNNNNNNNNNNNNNNNNNNNNNNNNNNNNNNNNNNNNNNNNNNNNNNNNNNNNNNNNNNNNNNNNNNNNNNNNNNNNNNNNNNNNNNNNNNNNNNNNNNNNNNNNNNNNNNNNNNNNNNNNNNNNNNNNNNNNNNNNNNNNNNNNNGACAGGCAAAGCAGAACCAUUUGACAGUAUCAAUAGGUUCAACAAGAUCCAAUAAAUCCAUAAAGAAAGUAUGAAUUAUCAACUGUUGUUGGAUAGGUUUGAAGAAGAAGAUAAGAGAAAAAUAGUUCAAGUUACUUUUGAUGGACAAUCAAUCUUUUUUAAUUCACGCAUUUGUAAUAGAAAGUUUGAGGCUGAUAACUCAACUUUCUUCUUGAUUGGCAUAUUUUUACAUUAUUUAAGCAUCCUCAUUUGUAAUAUCAUCAUGGAAUGUAUACAAACUCUGUGGUGAUCAGAAAAUACUUAGGUUUCUCUAGCGCUUAUUUUCUUCAUGAUUGUUAGGUAGUAGACACUUAAUUAAGAUUAAUAAGGUAAGACCUAGCCCCCCUUGCUUGCACUUAUCCCUAUUGAUAUUUUUUAUGUUUAAUAAAAGGCCACUAGACUCUGUCUAGUGGUAAAUUUGCGAGAAAAAUAAUAAUCAAAUAACGUAGAAUUUAAUAGGCAAUCUUAAUUUUCUUGUAAUUUUUUGUUUUUUGCUUUAACCAAGUGACCUCUUAUUAAUGGCUGAGACAGGUAGAGUUGAGGUGGUUUAUCUGAACUCCAUUCGAUAGAAAUUACAUUAGUUUUAUAUAGUUUUUUAAAAAAUAAUUCUUAUAUAUAUGUAUGUAUGUUGAACUCUCUUCAAUUUUUCAUGUGUUUACUUUUUUAUAUUUUGGACCUUCUUAGUGAAAAUCUUGAGUUCAUCAUUGUCUUCUACCAUAUAACAUCUUACUAUUACGACAAUUGUAUAAUACUUCUAACGAACUAUUUGAUAUACUAAAUUUUCACUAUUUCUAUAUUACGUAGAACUUCUAACGAACGGUUUGCUAUACUAACUUCUGAAAUAUUGUCUCAUCACAUAUCAAGUCCUAUGUACAUCAACUAAUUUGGCAUUGUUUUGAGAGAAUAAAGCAAUAGUUGAUUGAUUGAUAUUAUCCAAAUUUACUUAGAGAUGCUUUUUUUUAUAUAUAUAUAAAAUAAAGUGGACGGCAUCUAUUUCAUUUGGGAUAUAAUUAUUAUGUAAUAUUGGGACCAACUUGUAUAUUAUAGAGGCAAUUUUAAAAGUAGAUCAAAGAAAAACAAAACAAAACAAAAAUAGGAAGAAUUUCUUAGACAAAAUUAUUGGAUCCACAUGUACUCUAUAUUAUACUUUUUUACCAAUUAACCAUAGCAAGUUUUAAAAAAAUGUUCUCUUUUGAGGCUUAGUAUUGAGAAUACAAUCUUUUAUAUAAUAAUAAAACAUAUCAGGAUAAUAUUCUCACAGAAAAAGGUCAUAUUGUACGUAGUGACGGAACCAAAAUUUUUAAUAAGGGGUUCAAAAUCUAUAGAAAUAGACAAACGAAGUAGCCGAAGGGGGUUCGACAUCUACUCUAUAUACAUAAAAAAUUAUUUUAAUCAUGUAUAACAAUAUAAAUAAGAUAAUUUUCCGCCGAAGGGGGUUCGGAUCCCCCUUCGUAUAAGGUGGUGUUUAUAUCCCUACAUUAUUCAAAUAGGGAAAAACGUCGCGGUGACUCAAAAUAUAAACAAUUGAUUCAAUUUUAAAAGAAUUUUAACAAUAAAUGAAUUUUAAAGGAGUCGCCACCUAAUUUUAAGAAUAAACUAGGAAACUAUUAAGUGAUCUACGAAACCAAGAUUCUAGGUAAGGGGUUCAAGUUAUUUCGAAGGAAAGGUGUUAGGCAUCCUUCGAAAUCCACAACUGUGGGUCCCGACUGAAUUCAUUUUUUCAAAUUGAGGAGGAAAAUAAAAUAAUGUACAAAUAAAACAAAUAUACAAUAUACAAAAGUAAUAAAAUAAAAUAAUAUAAGAAGCAACCUAGAUUUGCCUAUCGUCAAUAAUAUACGAUAAUAAAUCAAAAUAUUAUUCGAACCUUGUUCGAAUAGCUUCAAUGUGAAGCAGCUCCGGGUACCUGUAAAGACACUUAGUAAAAGUGUUAGUACUAAAUAAAUAUGAAUAAAAAUAAAUAAAUUAAUAGUAACUUAAAAAUAAAAACUCGUCUUAUUAACAUGGGAGACCUUGAAAAUCGACGAUAAUUUCUUCAUCGGCCAAUUUUAACAUAUAAAAACUACAAACAUAAACUAAAUUUCCGUCUUUUAAAAUGAAGAGGCCUCUAAAACCGACGGAGAGAUUUUUUUAUUGGCCAUUUUGAACAAACAAAAUAUAUGAAAUUAAACUAAAUUUCCGUCUUUUACAAUGUAAAGGCCUCCAAAAUCGACGGAGAAAUUUUCUCAUUGGCCAAUUUUAACAUACAAAACAAUUUAGCAAAGCACAAAAUGUCUAAAAUUAACUUUAAACAAAAGGAUAAACAUAAUAAUAAUAAUAAUAAUAAUAAUAAUAUCAACCAUAACAACACCAACCGUAACAAUAUAGUAACAAGACUAAUACUGCUACUACUAAUAAUAAUAAAAUAUUAGUAAUAAUAAUAGCCAACAGUAAUGUACUACCCAAAUAGCAAUAAACAAUAUAAAAUAAGUAAAUCAAAUCUAAAAGUCAUUAACCAGUAAAUGUCAAUAUAUGAAAAAUAAGAAACCACUGUAAUUGAUAAAUCCGAUUAAAAAAUCAAAUUAAUUACCGACAAAAUCUCAAAACAUCAAAAUGAACGAAUCUAGAAAUUAUAACUUAACUUAAAUGUGUCCAACAACAAAAACAAAAAAACAAAAACUAAAAUAAUAAUAAAAACCACAUCAUCCAACAAUACUUCAAUAUAACUCUUAGAACAAAUGAAAACAAUAAAUAAUAGAGCAAGAUCUAUAAAAAUGAAGUAUUAACAACACAAAUAUAACUUGCAAAACAGAUAAAAAAAAUGUGAGGAGGAAUAAAGGAAAUACAGAGUACCGUGGUGAUGAUAAGAGUCUAGGACUGAUGGUGCUCAUUGGAGCUUGGAACUCCCGUUCGCUGGCGGUGGAGCCACGCCAGAGCUAGAGUUUGGGGUUAUCGUCGUUCAGGUGAGAGCUUUGAGCUCACUUAUUCCGCCGGAAAAUGGCUCACUGGUUCGAGCUCUGGUUCGUCGGCGUUAACGGAACACCUAUAAAACAAACAAAUGAACGGAAAAUCGAAAAGGGGGAAGGGACUGGCCGUCGUUUAGCUUUUAUCUUUUGCUCCGGCUCAUUGGAACGUGGAGCUCCUCGCCGGAGUCACUGGCGGUGUGAACGGGUAGCGUUUCGCGAAGGAGUCUGGUAGUGGGAGGAACAGGGAUUGGUUUUGCCGGAGAAACAAAAAAAAAUAUAAGGGGUUUUUGAGUGGCGGUUCCAGCGGCUGGUUUGGGGUCUGGCAGAGAAGGAAAAUGGGGUGGGUUUUGGGGUUGGAUCUGGUGGAGAAGAAAGAGAUUGUUUUGUGCUUCUAUUUGGUUAUAUUCCGGCGAGGUUUCGCCGGUAAAAUGAAUAAGAGGAAGGUGGGGGAUCUGGUGGGGUUUGAGGUGGUGGAGGCUAAGGGAGGAAAAGGGGAGAGGAAAAAAAAUUAGGGUUUUUGCCAUUUAGAAAAAUCUUGCCUCCUAAAAAUAAUUCACCACCUCCCUUUAACCUAAUGUGUUAGUUUUAUAUGUAGAGAAUUGAAAAUUAUCAAUGGGCCCAAGUCAUGGGCUCAAGGUUGUGGCCCAAAAUAUAUGUGGUAAGAAAUUUUAUCCACAUCGAAAUGAAUUUCUGAACUAUAUUAAAAAUAAAUAUUAAAAGAUGUAAUGAACGUAACUAAUGACAUGUAAAAAGUGUAAUUUUAAGAUUAACUAGGAAAAAAAAAUUCUAAAUUUUGAUAAAUAAGAAUAGUUAUCGAUAAACUUAUUUAAAAUUAUAAAAAAAUUAUCUUGAACUAUUAAAUAAAUAAAACUUAAAAGUUAUGAAUUUUUUAAAUAUUAGGCCAAAAUUGGGUGUCAACAAUUACAUUUCAUAUUGAUAUUUGAUUGAGAUCAUCAUUCCCUUCAAUUUUUUAAAUAUUAGGCCAAAAUUGGGUGUCAACAGGUGGCUCCGCCCCUCAUUGUACGUAAACUUUAUCUUUGUGAGGGAUAAAAAUGUUAUUUCUGAUAAAUUCUCGAUUUAUUAAAGUGUUAAUCACGUAAGACUUUAAUUCUGAAAUCAUCUCAAGAAAUUUAGAAAUCACUUCACCUAAGGCAUGAAGAAUAUUUUUAGGUCAAAUAAAGCAUGUAGAGUGAUUAAUUAGUCAGUCAAAGUGCAUGCUUUUAUAGAAAUCUGUUACUAAUUAUUAUAUUUAAUUUUGCUAAUUAACAAUAGAUUAUUUUUAACUCAAUUGUCCAACAAUAUAAAGACAAUCCUCACUGUCAUAUGUGGACACUUUUUUACCAACUUUAUAUCUUGACCCUACAUCUCUUCUUGUAAUUCUAACCCCUCAAAAAACAGAAAACAAAAAAGUGGUCCUCAAAUUUUGUUUAUUAUUACAAAAUUAGCUAGUUUGUACUUUUACCAUUUUUGUUGAUAAGAUAUAGAGUUACCCCAAACCUAGCUUGUUGUGAGUUGUCAUUUCUUUAAUUUAUUUUUUCUUUUCAUAAGGUAUGGUCCAUCACUUUGUACAUAUUUCCAAUUUCUAGAAAGAAAAAUAAUAAUUUAUUUUUUAAUUUAUAUAAAGAUAUUUAAUUAGUAUAUAUAUAGAUAGAGAAAAGAUGAAAGAAGAUAUAAGAUACAUCAUAAUGAAAUUAUAAUGACUGUACAAAUAUGUAAAGGUAGCUUAGUGGAUUAAAAUAUGCUGUGGAUUAUAGAUAAAUGACUCUCAAGAGCUUCUAUUCAUAGAAUCGUGAACCAUUAAUUAUGGAAGGGAGUGUUGUAGUAAUAUUUUGAUUGUAAAAGAGAGAGGAACGACUAGAUGGUGAUAAUUGCCCAUUUUGUUCGAUUAGAUUGAUAGAUAUAUAUAUAUUUUUUUAAUUUAAUCAAUCAGAUUUGACAUCUAAAUAUGAACUUAUCGAUGUUAGAGAAGGUUUCAAGGGCUAGAUCAUUCAUUGAUUCUAAUUAAUUUAGAGAGUCGUUGAUUCAAUCAAAUUUGACGCCUAUACUAGAAAUUUUAAAUUGUCUAUCUCAAAUCCAAUAAAAGCGAAGAAUUAUGGUAACUAAAAAUCAACAUAAAUUUAUUGAUUCAUGAUAAAUUCUUAUAAUACAAAUUUCACCUGAAGGUAUCCAUCUAAGCAUGCAUUACUUCAGUACCCAAAAUGUGAUUAAAGUUUACGUAAAAAUAAAAAAAAUAUCGGCAUAAUAUUUUUCUCAUUUUUUUCCACCUUAAAUAGGAAGGUAUGAAGGUUAUGAUUAGAGUAGAUGCUUAACAAAUAGUUGAACAUUCUCUUAUUUUUUAACGUGAUUAGUCUUGGUGGUAGAGCAUCGUGUCUAUCAUAGUAUUAACUCUAUUCAUAUAGUUUCUUGCUUUUGAUAUCUAAUAUCAUUUGUUGUCUAUUUGUUCCUUUCAUAAAUGUUUUGAAUCAUGUUUUACCAUAGCGACUCCGUACCCAAGAGAACUUUAUCGUUAUCUAUUAUUAUUGUUAAUGUUCCUUUCAUAAAUGCUCUAAAGACUCCCUAACAAAAGGAAUUUCAUAUUCAAGAAGACUCAAACACGAAACGUCAGUUAAGGAAAAAUAAAUAGUUAUCACUCCAUCACAACUUUCGUUGGUGCAAUUGUUGUUAUUAUUUCAACUGUUUCAAAAAAUCUUGUUUUUUCUACAUUUACCUUAAUGGGUCCUAAAAUUGUCCCAUAUAUAUCCUUAUAACCCCACUACAUUGAUAUACUACAUUAAAGCUUCUUUUUAGUUCUUUCUUCUGUUUGUUUUUCCCCAAAGUUGAGAAAAACAUUAAUCUAUUUUCCCAACGUCUCUUUAUUUUCUUAGCUGAAAUCAACUUUACCUUUUCUCACUCUCAAAAGUCUCACCUUUCACACUCUUUUUUCUCUCUUAAGCUCCAUUCUUGGUUAUCUGGUGUACAAAAGGUAAGGUCUUUGAGACACCCUUUUGCUCAUUUUUCAUUUUUCAGCUGUCACUGUUCUUGAUUUCAUCAUAUUUGUAGAUAAAAAUGCGAUCUUUUUUGUUUUUUUGCAUUUUCUUGAUUCUGUGUAGUUGUGUUUUUGUUACUUCUUUGAAUGAUGAAGGGAUAGCUCUUUGGUCAUUCAAAAAAGGUAUUGGACAAGACCCUGAAGGGUCACUUAAAAAUUGGAACUUUUCUGAUGAAACCCCAUGUUCUUGGAAUGGUGUUACAUGCAAAGACCUAAAAGUUGUAUCUGUUAGUAUACCUAAAAAGAAACUCACUGGGUUUCUUUCUUCUAGUCUUGGAUCUCUUACUGGGCUUAGACAUGUUAAUUUGAGAAGUAAUUUGUUUUCUGGUAGUUUGCCUGUUGAGCUUUUUGAGGUUCAAGGUUUGCAAAGUUUGGUUCUUUAUGGGAAUUCCUUUUCUGGGGUUAUACCUAUUGAGGUUGGGAAGCUAAAUUAUCUUCAAACUUUGGAUUUAUCACAAAAUUUCUUGAAUGGGUCUGUGCCUAUAACAUUACUUCAGUGUAAGAGAUUGAAGUUUCUUUAUUUAAGUCAUAAUAACUUUACUGGUGUUGUACCAGAGGGGUUUGGGGGUAAUUUGUCUGCAUUGGAAGAACUUGAUCUUGGAUUCAACAAAUUUGAUGGUAAAAUUCCAAGUGAUUUGGGAAAUUUGUCUAAUUUGCAAGGAACUGUUGAUUUGUCUCAUAAUAUGUUUAAUGGUUCGAUUCCGGCUAGUCUUGGUAAUCUUCCUGAGAAGGUGUAUAUUGAUCUGACUUAUAACAAUUUGAGUGGUCCAAUUCCACAAAAUGGUGCUCUGAUUAACAGAGGACCUACUGCUUUUAUUGGAAAUCCUGGGCUUUGUGGACCUCCGUUGAAAAACCAGUGUUCUGCACAAAGUGAUGCAAGUUCACCGUCCUCGGAACCUUUCUUGCCUAAUAACGUACCUCCCUUAGAUGGUGCUGGAGGGGAUGGGAAUGGUAGAGGUCUGAGUAGAGGUGCUGUAAUUGCGAUAAUCGUGGGGGAUGUGGUUGGAAUUUGUGUUAUUGGGUUGUUAUUCUCGUAUUGUUAUUCGAGAAUCUGUGGUUGUGGGAGGAAAAAGGAUGAAUCCGGAUUUGGUUUUCAGAAGGGGGGAGGGAAAGGAAGGAAAGAGUGUUUAUGUUUUAGGAAGGAUGAGUCGGAGACGUUAUCGGAAAAUGUUGAACAAUAUGAUCUAGUGGCACUAGAUAAUCAAGUGGCAUUUGAUCUUGAUGAACUUCUCAAGGCAUCUGCUUUUGUCCUUGGUAAAAGUGGUAUCGGCAUUGUGUACAAAGUUGUGCUUGAAGACGGACUUAACUUGGCUGUGAGGAGAUUAGGCGAGGGUGGUUCACAGAGAUUUAAGGAAUUCCAGACGGAGGUCGAAGCAAUUGGAAAACUGAGACAUCAAAAUAUUGUGACUCUUCGUGCCUAUUAUUGGUCUGUCGACGAGAAGCUACUGAUAUAUGACUUCAUUCCAAAUGGAAACCUUACCACCGCAAUUCACGGUAUGCUUCAAACUUAGGCUGUUGCAUUCUCGUUUAUCGUUUUUUCUUUGAUUUCCACAACUGUUUUAAGCUUUCGUGAUUAUUAAGUUAUUAACUUGUCUUUUUGCUUGUGUAAUCAACUCUUAGGAAAACCUGGUAUGGUGUCAUUUACACCGCUUUCGUGGUCCAUUCGACUGAAAAUAAUGAAGGGAACUGCAAAAGGUUUGGUUUAUUUACAUGAGUACAGUCCCAAGAAAUAUGUUCAUGGUGAUCUAAAGCCAUCUAAUAUAUUACUUGGGCACGACAUGGAGCCCAAAAUCUCCGACUUUGGACUUGGACGUCUUGCUAAUAUAGCCGGAGCAUCUCCUACGUUGCAAUCCAACCACAUGACCUCUGACAAACCACAACAAAGUAAGCAAGGCAGUGCACUAUCAGAGUCCGGGACAGUUACAUCAACUACAACAUCUGGUUCUUGCUACCAAGCUCCCGAGGCAUUGAAAGUGGUGAAACCAUCUCAAAAAUGGGACAUUUACUCGUAUGGAGUGAUCUUGCUUGAAAUGAUCACGGGAAGAACCCCGAUUAUCCAAGUAGGUUCUACAGAAAUGGAUCUAGUAAACUGGAUUCACUGGUGCAUUGAAGAGAAGAAGCCACUUUCGGAUGUAUUGGACUCAUAUUUAGCUCAAGAUGCUGAUAAAGAAGAGGAAAUGAUUGCGGUUUUGAAGAUUGCAAUGGCGUGUGUUCACAGCAGCCCGGAGAGAAGACCCUCAAUGAGAUACAUAUCUGAUGCAUUAGAAAGACUGCAAGCUUCCUCUGAAUGAACGAUCGAAACAGAACCUGAAGGCUACACAUUGCAGAGUAAGGAUCACAGCAUCUAACCGAUAACUAUGGAGCACGAUCACUGCUUGGCGCGCGAUCAUAUUGACUAACAGUAGUAAUCUCCACUUGUCUGUUUGAAUAUUGGCCUUCUUGCUCUCUAAUUGCAAGGUUUUUGUUGUGUCUAUUUGUUGUUUCCUUCUAUUGAUGAACAUAAGUUAUUUGUUCUCUUUAUUACUACUACUAUUCAUCUUUGUGUGUCACAAAUGAGUUUAUGUAAAUAAAAAUGAUUGUCAAAAUAAUAAAUAAGAUAGGUGUAAGCAAUAACUAUGUCUGUUGUGAGUCUGCAAGUGUUGGUACUAUUUUUGUCAAUACUCUCUGUCAGUAAAUGAAAUUCUUUUAACAAAAAGAUAUUAAUGUCUUGUAGUACUACUAAUAAAUGCAUUUUGUGACAGCUGCAUGAUUUUGUCAUCUACCAUUAUCUCAGUUUUACAGUUAUUGGUUGUUUGUUUAUGGUAACUUUGAACACUGAGAUGCACUGACAUAAUACACGUAAGAUGUUACGUAGGAUACGUAAAUUAUCACGUAGGACGUAUAUAGGAUGCAUAUGUUACUUGUUAACUUUAUACAAAUUUGUGCACAUUCAAAAUUGAACGGUAUCUAAAUGCAAGUUGAGGUCAAGUUAAAGGGUAAUUAUGGUGCAUAAAGCUUUCUGCCAUAUGCAUGGAGUUUAAGGAAAGAUUCACCACAUUGAAUCUUAUGUACAUAGUUUUAUCUUACAUUUCUAUAAAAGGUUUCCCCGGCUUGAAAACGUAACAUCCAAAUCACAUGAUGUCAACUUUAAAUGUUACGCCGCAGGUCGCAAGCCAAGCUCACAAGUCUUAACUUCUAUUAUGAUGAUAGUGUACAAAUAUUUACGUUAUCAAGUUACCUAAAAGAUAAUUACAAAUAAUAAUCGUUUGUUUAAAAAUGAGGUUAGUAACCUAGAAGAGCACAUGAAUGAGCUUGUCUUGCAUAAUAUUGACUGUAUAAAAAGUAUUUGCGCUAUCAAAUAAUCCAAAAGAUAAUUAUAUAAUUGUUCAUAAAUUUUUUAAUCAACAACAUAAAAAAAGACAAAUGAAAUUAUUAUUUUGAUGCAUGCACCUAGGAUGCCAUCUAAAAAUGUUUCUUGAAUUGAAGGAAAAAAGAGGCUAAAUUUAAUCAUGAGAAUAAAAUGCAAAUUAAUUAUUGCAAAUAAAAACUUGUGGACCUUUUUUCAGAUUACUUUUUAGUACAUUUAUUUCUGUAUAAAAAAUAAAUCUGUUUGAUUAUUGAUCUUUUUCCUUUCUAGUUUCAUCAAACAAUUUUAUUGAUUCUUGAUUGUGUCAUACUACCAAUCUCUUAAAGGAGCAUGUUUGAUUAUGAAAAGAUUUCAAUAGCUAGUAUAUCUCAAAAACUUUCUCCGUUUUAAUUUAUCUGUCUUAAUUUUAUUUGUAGUCCGUGUAAAAAAGUGUCUUUUUCAUUUUUGAGCAAUUCUUUAAUUCUAACUUUCUACGUGACAUGUUUAAGAUCAUAAGAGUAAAAAAUAUUUUAAUACAUUCUACAUAUUUUUAGUUGAGACCACAAGAUUCAAAAAUCUUCUUUAUUUUCUUAAAUUUUAUGUCAAGUCAAAACCAAGCAAAUAAAUUAAAACGAAGGAAGUAAUAUACAUUUGCCUUCUUGGUUGUAACAUCAUUGUUUAGAUAACAUCAUUGUUUAGAAUUUAGAGUUAAUGAGUUCAGAAUUAUAUAUCUAUAAAGUUUUUCGUGUUUUUUUUUCGUGCACACACAUAUAUUGAAAAAGACUAGUGUGGUCGUCACACACAUGGUAUCAUUAAACAAGAUCCAACAACGUCAAAUGUGACGCUCGUGAUGAAGGGCUGGCCAAUGAAGACGAGUCACAAAAAAGAAGAACUGACAGGGUUCUAGGCUGACAAUCUUCUGAAAAAGAUAUGCACAUGAUACAUGGGAGAGAAAAACAAAGAAUUUUAUAACUAAACAUAACACAAGUUAUAUGAUAUAUACGUUUUUAGGUUCGAUGAUAAUGUAACUCAAGGGACAAAUUUAAAUUAUGUGUAUGAAAAUGAACCUCUUAUUAUUUUUCAAAUAUUACUUUUUCAUAUUCCAUACAAUGAUCAACUUCUUGGUGAUGACUAUAAAGCUAGCUAUAGUCCAUAGAGCACAUGAACUUUGGCCAAAAGACAAUAAUGUGUUACAGGUACAUUGAAACUUAUUGACAUUUUAGUAGGUAGCUAUGCAUAGAGACAUAAAAGUAUGGCAGCUUUUAGAAGUAAUAGUUUUCUUAGGGUGCGUUUGGUACGGAGAAAAAUAUAUAUAUUUUUUCAUGUUGAUUGGUCAAUUUUUUUAAAAAAUAUUUACUUUUAAGAUAACAAGACGAUCUUAAAAAUAAGAAAAUGACUUUUUUGUUAAAGGUAGAAAAACAAAUUUCAUAAUAGGUAACAUUUCAUAUUGAUUGUCACCUCUCAAUCACCAACCUCCCCCCCCCCCCCCCCCCNNNNNNNNNNNNNNNNNNNNNNNNNNNNNNNNNNNNNNNNNNNNNNNNNNNNNNNNNNNNNNNNNNNNNNNNNNNNNNNNNNNNNNNNNNNNNNNNNNNNNNNNNNNNNNNNNNNNNNNNNNNNNNNNNNNNNNNNNNNNNNNNNNNNNNNNNNNNNNNNNNNNNNNNNNNNNNNNNNNNNNNNNNNNNNNNNNNNNNNNNNNNNNNNNNNNNNCCCCCCCCAACCACCCCCCCCCCCCCCCCCCCCAAUCGCCCUAGUAGCAUAGCUAUAUAGAUUGAAGGAUUGUCAGUCGAACACCUUUCGUUGGAAAGUUUUAUAUAUAUACACAAAGUUUUAAUAUUGUGUAUAUACGUCUAAUAUAUUUCCUAUAGAUAUAUACAUUAAAAUCUUGAACACAUUUAGCGAAAUUCUUAGCUUCGCUAUUACAUAAACCCCACGCCCAUACCCAUUAGCUCGACCUCAACUGUCAAUCCCAUAAUAUUUGUCUAGAUUAUAAAUGUAAAAUUGUUUUUGAGACAAUAUUUUUUAUUUACUUAUCAAAUAUUAAAAAAUAAGUGAAAAAGUUACCUUGUCAGAAAAAAUAUUUUCUAACUACCAAACACACCCUUAAUGACUAUGUAUGAAAAUGCAAAAAAAAAUCUAAAGGGUUUUUAUUUGGAUAUGGUUGGUCUUUUUAAUUAGUUGAAACUUUAUGGCUGUACACCAUUAAAUAAAUUUAUCUUUUUUUGUGUGUGUGUAUAAAGCUUGACAUAUUCUUGGUCUUAAUUUCUUUUUACUUUAAUUGCAUAAUAUUUGACUUUUUUAAAUAAAACUUUAUUGUCGGAAUGUAAUAAUAAUUGCGCCAUUCAUGCCAACUACAAUGGGAGAAUUUUAGUAUACCUACUUGAAAGAUUAAUUCAAUAAAAUAAUAAUAAUUAUGUACAUGUUAAUAAUAAACAAAAAUAAAUAAUUGUUAAAAUUAUCAAGAAAAUCGUCAAAAGGUUAACUUCGUCUUUCUUAAAAAUAAAUUUUUCAUCUAUCAUAAUUAUUGAUCGAUUUACCAUUCAAUUAAUCAUGUGUUAUCGUUAAGCUUGUACUAUAAUAUACUUUUAUAAAUAGUCAAAUAAAACAUCUUUCAUGCAUGAAGGGAUCAAUAACAUAUAGUUUAAUUGAUUAAAGGUUAGAAUAAAAGUUGAAUUUUACCAAUAUUUUUUCCAACAUAUAGUUUUAACCAAUAAAAAGAAGCAUUAAAAAAUUGAUCUCGUGUAUAAUUAAUUAGGAUCAAUCAACAACUUUUUUCCCAAUAUUUUAGAAUUUUAAUAUUCCUAGUCAAGAAUAGUAGAUACGAUUCACCAAAUAAUUACAUUAAGAAUUUUGUUAAUUUUUUGGCAUAUGAAGUAAUCAUUUUAAUAGGGAUAAGGGUCUGAAAAAUACCCCAACUUUGGUCAGAUUUGUUGUUGCGAUACUAAACUUUCAUGAGGACCUAUUACCUCUCUAGACUAUUUAAUACCGUAUUUUAAACAUAUAUAUUUGCCCACAUGGACAUAAAAAAUAAUGCAAAAUUAUAAAUAGUAAUGUGUCCACGUGGCACAUAUAUACCUUUAAAAUACACUAUUAAAUAGUUCAGGGGGUAAAAAAUAUGGUAUUAAAUAGUCUAGGGAGGUAAUAAGUCCUUAUGAAAGUUUAGUAUCGCAACUACAAAUCCAAUCAAAGUUGGGGUAUUUUUCAGACCCUUAUCCCUUUUUAAUACAUAAAUAUUGGGUCGGUAUCCGAUAUCCAUCAUUAUUGGGGGUUUGAUUAAUCCAAAUUGAGCCAAGUAAGACCCACUAAAGAGGAAUAUCUUACCUAUUAGGAUAUUUCCAUACUCAUAACUCAAAUCGGAGACUUCUGAUUAAAGAUGGGACAUUAUAACCAUUCACACCCUCGGCGACAAAUAGAAAAUGUUAGUAUUCUAUUUAAUGAUGGAUUAUCGAAGAAUUAUAAUUUUUUUGUUAGUUACGAUCUAUUUAGCUACAGAUUUGUAACACAAUCAUUCACUCCAUAGUCUGAUAGAGUCCUGUUCUACAUGUCAAUAUCGACAACAAUGAAAUUUAUAGUAAAAGAAAAAUUCGACUUUAAAAUAGUGUAUUUCAGAUUUUUUUUUCUUUGUUUGACUAUCUUAGCACGAAGCAACACAUGAUUACAAUUCUAUUACAUGUCUUUUUCAUUUUGUCGAAAAUCAAUUUCACUAUAUAAAUACUUAUGACCUCCUCCUCUAUGUCUUGCGGUAAUGAUUCUUUUGUAGUUAAAAAGAAGAGUAGAUGUCACCAUACUUUGAUAUAUAGUAGUGGAAAGUCCACAAAUAAUGGGCCAUAUUCAAAUUGGGAAAGUGUCCCCUCAAAUGACUUCAAUUGCUAUAUUUUUCUUGUAUUAGAAAAUUAGGGUAACAAAUUAAAGAAUCAAUCAAAGACUUGGAUAUGUUACAGCUUGCUUCUCAUGGGCAUUGUCCUUUGUUGUUACUCCUUUAAUACACAAUAUUAGCUAGCUAGCUAGCUUUCAUAGUUAAAAUUAUAUACAUAAUUCAUUCAUCAUUGUUGACUUAAUGAUUGUAAAUGUACAUUUUUCUUUUAGUUCAAAUAGUUCUUAGCAUCUUAGUGAUAAGGGAUAAGAGACAAGUACCCAUAGACUAUGACCGAAAUCUCAGAGACAUAUCUUAACUAAUCUAAGAUCCUAUUAUCUCCCGAACUCAUUUUUCGUGUAAUUUUGUACACCUUUUGGCUUACGUGGCACACUCUGUGACUCCACUUAGGUGAGGCGCGUGAGAGAUGUUUAGAGGCCCCGUAGGCCAAAAAGGUGUAUAAAAUUACAAAAAAAAAGUCCAGGGGGGUAUUAUGACCUUAGUUUAGUUAAGGUGUGUCUCUAGAAUUUCGGUCAUAGUCUAGGGGGUACUUGUGCCUUAUCCCCUAGUGAUUAUAAUAUAUUAGCCAUCAACAUGUGGACUGUGGUGAGAUGAUAGUGAUCACUUUAUCUUUAAUUAAAGAUUUCGGGGUUGAGCUCUUAGAAAUGAACAAAUUCUAUUGGGAUUAUCCCCCCCCCCCCCCCCAGAAAUCAUGUGCAUUACAAUGAGCGAACAUGAAUUUAGUCAAGCUCAAAUACAAGUACCAAAUUAGCAUGGUGGAUUGUAGUGCAAUGGUUGAGAUCACUUCAUCUUUAACUAAAGAUCUCGAGUUUGAGCUCCUGAAAAUGAAAAACUUUUGUUGGGAUGACUGUCCUCUAGAAAUGAGCAUUACAAAGCGUAAAUCUGAAUUUAGUCGAACUCCAACACGAAUACUGAAUAUCGAGUGUGAAACUAAUAAAUAAAUCUUAGCCCAUGCCUUUUUCUUUUCUUUUCUUUCCUUUUAAAUGUCUAAAGUUCAUUUAGUUUUAGUUGUCUUUGUGGUUGGAUCAUGGACAGGCAAGAAUAUAAAGGUGAAAGGUCUUUUUCAUUAAUUAAAAGAUCCUACAAUACUAACAUAUUGCAUCAAAAAGUAAAAUUAGGAUUUUAAGUUUUAUAGAUAUUGAAUUUUAGAAAAAUACAAUUUAUUGGUCUUGUGAUAAUUUAGUCAUACAUGUUAGAUGAAUUUUUAAAUGUAAAUUUAGGAGUUUCAUUCUCUGUAAUCGAAUUUGUAAGCAAAACUUUAGUUUUACCCUUGCAUAUAACAUGUAUGGCCUAAAGGCUAAAACCAAAUCUUAAUAAUAGGAAGUUUAAAAAAUUAUUCACUAAAACUUGUUCAUGUUUGUUUAGAUUUUUGUCAUUUUACACGCACUUUCACUAUUCAUCUUAUCAUCAGAAAAGAUAUCGAGUAACUCGACUUUUUACAAAUCCUUUUAUUGUUCUUGGAUAGGGUAGGCUAGGGAAGCCCAACCUUAUGGGUUGGCCCAAUAUCGAUCCAAUCACCCCAAUGCCUUUAUUUGGGUUACAAGCCCACUAUUAAGUUCAACCUCGCCAGCUAUAGAUAAUUGUCUAAUAAAUAUUUUGGUUUACGAUAAAGUUAUUUAAAAAAAAUUCCUAUCAUCUUAUAAUCUUCAAAUUUAUAAUCAAGUUUAAUGGACAAAUAUUUUGAAGUGAAAAGAAAAACAUUGAUCUAUUUAAGAUGUAGAAAUUAACAAUUAACUAUUAAUACAAUACCACAUAAGCUAUAUAUUACGUACCAUGGACCUAAUUAAUAUGGUCACUCAAUUAAUAGAAAUAUUAAUACAACUAAAAUAAGUCAGAAAUUAUCAAAUAGAACUUAGUAAAAGAUGAUCAAUUGGAGAAGAAUGCUUCAUCUUUCUUCAUAAUUCUUAGCCUCUUCACUCGAUCUACGAAUUCACUGUACAAAUAAUAAGAAUUUAAGUUUUAUACAUUAACGAUAUCAAAUAUAUUUAAAUAAUCAAGUUAGUUAUAAAGUAAGAUGAAUCUAUAUGAUGAUAACAUUAAUUGGAACUUUAUAAAAUGAUAACGAACUUGUUAUCACAUGUAAAUCAUGUAAACUCAAGAAAAGGAGUUUAAUUUAAUCCCUUUACCCAAAAAAAAAUAUAUUUUACAAAAAUAUUUCUCACGAAUCAUUUUGGAUUAAUCAUCUAGACCUAGUUCAAAUAGUUCAAAUUUUAAAUUUCAUAGAAUAAAGCACACAACAAAAUAGACAAAUGAAUGAAUCAUUAGUUCAGUUGAACUUAAAUCAAUCAGACAAUUAUAUUUUCAUAGGUUAAUUUUAUCGUCCAAUCAUUAGUUCGGUUGAACUUGGACCGAUCAAGCAAAUCAUAUUUGCAUAGGUUAAUUUUAUCGUCCCUACCUACCUACAUGUAUUAAUAAUAUCAAAAAGUACUUAAUGAUUAAAAAAAAUACUCACUUCCAUGGAACAUCACCAACAAUCCUCCAUUGGUCAUUCCUGUCUUUGUAAAAUAAUGAAAACUCUGAACCAUCUUGGAAUAGCCUUAGCCCAUCCAUACUUUGUUUUCCUUUAUACCAUUUAUAAAUAAAAGAAACAAAUUAUGAGGUAAUUAAACAUAUUAUUUAAAAAAACGAAUAAAAAAUAAAACUUGGUAAGAGUUGGACGAGUUAGGCUAUGACCAAACUCAGUCUAGAUCUAUCUCAACCCAAUAAUGUUUGAGGGGGUCAUUAAUUCACUUGCUCAUUCAUUAAUUUAGUUUUGACCUGGUCAAAUUCAGCGCAAUCUGCUUAUUUGACACCCCUACCUACCUACCUACAACUACAUUUAAAAUGACCUAAUAAUAGUGUAAUAAUAAAUGAUAAUUUUGAUAUUUUAGAACAUACCAAACAUGUCUUCAAGUUGUAUUGCAAGGCUAGAAUAGCUUGAAUGUUCAAGAAUGCAAAUUUUUCUUCCAACAAUAACUCCAUCCAUAUUAACUUUCACAUAUUCCCAUCUCUCUUUGCUUUGAAUCCCUUCACUUUCAUCAUCAUAAUUAUUAAUUUCCAUAAAAUUUGUAGGAUAUUCACUUCUUGAAUUUUUGCUUGAUUGUGGAUGCAAAUGUUGCCAAUCUAUCAACUCAUCAUAGCCACCUGCAUGAAUUAGUACUUAACAAUUAAGUCCUAAGUUGCUCGAACUCCCCAAAAAUACUUUCACACCUAUGUCAGAUCCUCCAAAAGUGUUCUACUUUGAAGGGUCCGACCCGCACACACAAUGACUUUUUUGAAAAGUCCAAGCAACAUAGAUUAAAUUCAUUAAAUAUUAGUUUCACUAAGGCCUAAGUUGCUUGAACUCCCCAAAAAUACUGCCACACCUAUUUCAGAUCCUCCAAAAGUGUACUACUUUUGAAGGGUUCGACCCGCACCCACAAUGAUUUUUUUUUAAAAGUCCAAGCAACAUAGAUUAAAUCCAUUAAAUAUUAGUUUCACUAAUAUCAAUCAAUUUUAACAUAGCACUUUGAACUUUUUAAAAGCUUGGUCAAACAUGCUUUAAACUUUUCAUGUCACUUCUAUAUAUAUAUAUAUAAAUAUAACUAUAAGAAUAUGUCAUUAAUAAGAAUAAAAUCCAAAACUAAAUUUGUUUCCAAAUUAAAUUUUACUCAUGAAUCUUAUAACUUCUCAUUAGUAUACAAUGAUUAAGGAAAGGUUCUCACUUAAAUAAGUCUUAUAUGACGCAAAUCUGAAUUAGUCGAACUGUGAUACAUAUACCAAAUAUCGAAUGGAACCAAAAAAUUGAUUAAAGAAUAGUCUUCAGAAAUAAAAGAUGAAAACAUAAACAUACCAUGAGUAGAUGGAUAAUAGGCCUCAGGCUGCAAAGCUCUAAGACUUAGUCCCAAAUCAAUAAAAUUACCAUUCUCCUUAUUAUUGGUUUGAUCAUAAUAAACAGAAGGAAGAGUGGUUGCAUGGUUUAGAAGAUAUUCAGAAGAAUUUGAAUCCAUAUUUGACUCGUUCACAAAAUAAAUAUUUUGCUAUGUCAAUGUAGAGAUAAAUAGAAGCAAGAUAUAUGAUUGAAAUAAAUUAAAGAGACAUAUAAGCUCUAUAUAGUAGUAUUAGUUGUUUGUAUUCAGAAUUUAGACGUUUGAGACUAAAAUAAGUUUGGACUUAUUAUAUAUAUGCAAUUAAUUUUUUUCGAGAGGGGAGCCUUGAAGUAAUGGUAAUAAAGUUAUCAGUUAUAUAGGUCAUGAGUUCGAGCGAUAAAAUCAAUUGUUGAUGUUUGCGUCUGAAUAGACUGUCUACAUCACACUUUAUUGGGGUGCAUGCAACUAGCCUUUUCGAUAACCCUGUGUGAACGUAUUAUAUUUCGUGCACCAAAAUAUCCCUUUUUAUGUGCGUACAAUUCGAAGGAAAAAUAAUAAAGUAAUGAAUUCAGUUGAAGUCACGUAACACGUCCCAUUCUCCCUUGUACUUUUCAUGUCCGUGCAAAACAAAACACACUUCUCGCAAGAAUAGAAAGAAAUCUAGCUAUAUGCUUGAAACAAAGAGACAUAUAAUUAAGCUCUAUAUAUUAUAUUAUAUAGUAUAGUACACUGUUCAGUGAUAAAUUCAGAAUUUAAAUAUAUCGGGUUCAAAAUUAGUUUAUACCUUUUAUAUAAAUUCAUUAUUUCAUAUAUAUACAUGUACAAUUCGAGAAAGGAAUAAUAUUUGAAGCAGCAAUAUAGAAUUAUUGCUUGCGUCAAAGUAGACGUACUGUAUACGAUGUCAUAUCCCUUCCCUGGACUUAUGUUUCGUAUUCUGAGCUACCCCUUUUAUACGUGUAUAAUUUACGCAAAAAAAUAAUAAAUCUAGUUGAACUCAUAGAACGCGUACUACUAUAUAGUACUUUUCAUGUCCAUGCAAAACAAAACACACUUGUUGCAAGAAAAGAAAUGAAUCUAUCUAGGUUAAGAAAAAUGCAAACAUGAGUGGUGGACUUAUUUCCCAUAAUCAAUCAUUGUAGUGUUAGUUAAUUUUGUAAUUUUUAAUUUUCUGACAUUUAUAACAUGGAAAAUCUCAAUGGAUAACAGAAAAGAAAACAAGAUAUGGGCACAAAAAAUCCAACAAAAGUAGGGUUCAUAUGUUGUAUACUUCCAACACUACAAAGAUCUUUGCAAUAUGUUAAAUUUUAGUCUCUACCGAGGCGGAUUUAAAAUUUAAAUUAUUUGUAUUCAGAUCGUUGCUAAAUCUAUUGAUCAGUGGUGAAAUCAUCUUUUCGAUUGUUCAUCAAAAAAUUAUACUUGUAGAUAUAAGUCAGUUUAUUGUUUGGCCGUGUGAGUAUACAUAUUUGAGGGAUCACGAAUUAAAAUUUUAAAUUAUUUGUAUUCAGAUUGCCGUUGAACAUAUUAAUCAAAGGUGAGAUCAUCAUUUUCAUUAUUCAUCAAAUAUUUAUACUUUGUAGAUAUAAGUUAAUUUAUUUUCUUGAUGUGUGUCUUCAACGUAUAUAAGAAUAUUCUUGACUUAUUGAUUAUGUUUUUACUUUUUUAUAUUCUGAAUCCUCUUAGUGAAAAUUAUAGCUUCUCCACUCAUAUUAUAUACCGUUUAAAUUAUUAGAUUCGAAAUUUAAUAUUUCUGGUCAAUUUUUUGAUAAUUAAAUUUAUUGAAUGGUCUUUUGAGUGUUAAAUUUUUGACACAUCUGACACAACUAAACACAUAUGUAUGUCUAUGGCUCAACAGGGCCUACAAACAUCAUCAGAAUUGACUCAGAUAUUAUGCAAAAUUUCAGAAAAGGAUAAACAAAAUCAAUUAAUUCCAGAAAUCUUUUGACUUUGGAUUUUAAUUUUCUGGGAUAUAUAUAUAUAUAUAUAUAUAUAUAUAUUCUUCCUUUUAAUCCUUGUUUUUUUCUUCUUAUCUUGUGAAUCCCAACCCAUAUUGUAUGACCAUUGAUUUAGUGACACGUCAUGAAUGUGUACAUGAUCGAAGCUAAGAUCAGUUGAACUCAGUAACUUUUGAUUAAAACAUAAUCGUAUAUUUUAUGUCAAGAAAUUCAUUAAAAUAUGUAUAAUUAUUAACUUUAGAAUCGAGUUAAUAUGACUUUAAAGUCAUCGUUUCCACAAUCCAAAACCCAUAAAAUCUAGUAAAUCCUAAUUCCUAGGUGGUUAGGUUCUCCUCUUUAACUAUAUGCCAAGCCUAUCAUAUACCUACUCCCUCCGUCCAUUUUUAUUUGUUAUGUUGCGUUUUUUGAAAAUUAAUUUGACUAAUUUUCAAGUUAAAUAAGAUUACAUUAAUUCGAUAUUUUAAACAAAAAAUUUAGAUAUUCAAAAACUAUAUAUACGAAAAGUACUAUAAAUUGUAAUUUUUGCAUACCAAUAUGAUAAAAAAAAUACAUCAUAAAAUGUUAGUCAAAGUUUAUAUAGUUUGACUCUAAAAAGGAAAACUAUGACAAUUAAAAGUGGACGGGGUAGUAAAUAUCAUCACUCCUAGCAUGAUUUUUCAUACUUCAAAAUUUGUUUAUUUUAAAAAAUAUUUUUUUUAAAUAAUGCACGUGAGCGAAUUUACUCUCGAAAUUAUGAUUCACGUGAAUUCAUGAUUUUAAAGAAUUGAUCUAAUAUUAUUUAUUAAUUCAUGUAGUUUAUUGUUGAGUUAUUUGUUCAAAGAAAUAGUGAUUGAUCCUCACUUAGUUACAUAAAAAAAAAUCAGUUUAAACUUAUAUGUAUUAUCUAGAUAUAUUGAGUAUUAAAGCUAUGUACACACUAUUCAAAAGAAAAUAAUAUAUGGUAAAAUUUGUUAAGAAUUAUAUAGUAAGGAAUAUGAAACUAAGCUUGAUAAAUCUAGAAAUUUUGGGACUGCCUAAGCACAAACAUAAUGUCAAAUUAUUUGAAGUUUGAUUUUGACAAAUUUAAUUUAAAUUUAAAUUUACAAAAAAUUAUAAAAUUUUGAUUCUGUUUAAUAAAGAUCCUAAAAUGGCCUAUAUGUGCAAAUUUCCUCCAAAGUCUUCUGCACAUUGAUAGAGUUUUUUUUUUUAAAAAAAUAAAAAAUAAAAAAUAAAAAUUGGGGGUGGGGAAAUAGAGGGGAUUACAAUGUGGGGGAAUCGAACACUUGCCAACAAAGUGGGUGUUCAGAUAGCUCCCAUGAAAAUUGAUAGAGCCGCCUUUUAUGAUGCGUAGUUUUUACUUGUCCUUCGAAAGAAAACCACUUUGAAGUGUUUAAACUGUUGGGUUCAAAAGUGAUAAUGGCGUCAAGCGGAAACUUACAAUUACAAAUUAUGGAGGUGAUUAAUAAGAUGAUAAAUAAAAACAUAUUAUUAUAUGAUUUGGCCAAGCGACCUACAUAUUAUAAAGCUAAUAUUGAAAAAAACAUGCAUGUUAGGAGAAAAUCUCCCCAAAAACAAAACCCUCUAAACGACUACAUUGUGGAUGCUAUUGAGUUCUUUUGGCAUGAGAAAAUGGUCUUCAAUUUAUAGAAUUUCAAAUUUUUCCUAUGAGGAAAGAAUAACCCAAAUAUUGAAGAAAAUUAUAUUUUCCUUUCAUGAAAAAGUUAAAAUAUUUAUGAUAAUACAUGAAUUUUCCUUCAAAAGAAAAAUAAAACUCAAAUAAGACAAAUAAAAAGGGGGUAAAACCCUAACAUAAACAUUGUCAUAAAUCAAUUAAAUAAAAAUAUUCAAAACAAAGUCCGGCUUAAUUUUUAAAAAAAGACUCUAACCGAUAGAUUAUUUUCAAAUAUCGAGUAAGAGAUUUCUAUUUUCAUUUUAAAACGGUAAUUGCGUCUUUCACAAUAAUUUUUUUUUGAGGAUGUAAGUUUAACUAGUAAUUGGUGUGCAAAAUUUGAUGACAGAAAAAUAUAUUAGUGGAUGAGGUUUGUGUUGUUGCAAUCACAUUUGUUCCUAGCGAUUCAGAGACGGUGGAGAUAUUAUCGUCCUUUGCCAUUGGUGUCAAUCACUAACCAAGAGUCCUAGUUGAUUACGGUACAUACACAACAAAACCUAAAACUAGGAUACAAGAAGAAAUCAAAACAUAGUUGAACUCGUCCAUAUUAUCUUCAUCAGGUAUUAACACUAGAAAUAUCUACUAACAUGCUAUUAUCCAAUAAUUUAACUGUAAUAAGUAACAAUUUAACUAGUACUGUUUGACUGACUUGAACAAUUAAUUUUAAAAGUAAAGGGAAAAGAGACAUUUGAGUCCUUUUUUUGAAAGGCUUUUAACAAAACUUGUUAGGGUUUUUGUUCUGAUUUUUUUACCUUAUUUGAAGUUUAUUUUUUCCUAAAAGUAAAGUCAAAGUAUUACCAUAAAUGCUUUAAUUUUUUCUGAAAAUAAAAUAUAAUAUUCUUUCAUAUUUGGUUUAUUCUUUCCUUUUAGGAAAAGGUUUUUGGAGUAGCUAGUUCUUUUCUAGUAGGAAAGGUUUUAGGACUCUAUAAAUAUAGGUUUGUUUCUUCUAACACAAUAAUAACAAUAACAUCCACAAUGUAGUCGUUUAAGAGUCUUGUUUAUGGGGAAAUUUAUUCUCUCUAAAGUUUCAAUGUUUUUCUUUAUAUUAGUUUUGAUAUAAUAAUAUUUUAAUUUUUAGUAUAAGUUUUUUAUUAUCUAAUUUAUCAACUAUAUGAUUUGCAAAUUGUAAGCUUCCGCAUGAUGCCCUAAUUAUCCUUCAGAACCCAACAAAACUUUGGGUCGGUCUGCUGCUUCUCUUUUGUAAUGUCACGUAAAUUGUAAUGUAUGGUCUUGGUCCAAUUUUUUGAGCUUCCCUUGCAUUAAAUCUAACUUGUCCAAUUCAUUUAAGUUUCAUAGCAAAAUUCGUUUCUGUUGGGAAACAAUGAAAUAUCACAAAAAUAAUAGUACUAAAAGUUAGAUACGAUAAUAUUUUAAAAUUAGAUAGCUUAGAAUUUAAUUUCAUACUUUAAUUCAUGAUUGUGUCAAUUUUUUUGUUAUUGGGAGAAGGCACAAGUACCCCCUAAACUAUGACCGAAAUCCCAGAGACACACCUUAACUAAACUAAGAUCCUAUUACCCCCUGAACUCAUUUUAUAUAUAAUAUUGUACACCUUUUGGUUUAUGUGACUCCACGCAGUUGAGACGCGUGGGAGAUAUUUGGAUGCCACGUAAGCCAAAAAGGUUUACAAAAUUACAAAAAAAAUGAGUUCAUGGGGGGUAAUAGGACCUUAGUUUAGUUAAGGUGUGUCUUUAGGAUUUGAUUCAUAGUCUAGAGAGGUACUUCUACCUUUUCCCUUUCAUAAUGUGACAGUGCUUGUUUUUGAACAAUAUGUCAUUUGUCAAUUCAUGUCCAUAAUUUAUUUGAUCUGUUAUCUUGUUUCUAAUUGAUUUUUUUGUGUGUCAAAUCUUGAUGGAUAAACUAAUAACCGAACCGAUAAUGAUCAAUAAGCGUUAAACUAAUAAUCGAUAAGUCAAUAUCUUAAUGGUUCAGUAACGAUUUUGCAUAUUUAACAGACUGAUAACUGCUAAACUUCGUCAAAAUUAAACCGAACCAAUCAAUACGAAGUUCUACUCCUCAAAUCUCAUUGUGAAAUUUCAUUGAAUAUGUUGUUUUUAAUUAUUAUUUUAUCUCAAAUUAAGUAAUUUAGGUAUUAUCCUUUAAUGUGCUAGCAAAACAAAAUUUUCUAUCGAUCAUGACUAUUUAUUUUUGUCAAAGACCAAAUGGCCCCUAAUAUGUUUGUUUGUUUUUUCUGUAUAAAAAGAGAAAUCAGUAAUUUCUUCAUUUAAAGUUCAGCAGCUACUGCAGCUUUCCAUUUCUUAAAGAGAACCACCUUUUCAAUUUUUCAUCCAAAAAUUAUCAAUUUAUUUUUCUAAUGUACAUACAUAUAUUAAAUAUUUGUUAUUCUUAGCUUCUUUGUAUAUAUUUUUUUUUGUGAAUUCUAAAUCCUCUUAACGAAAAAUUAUAACUUGGUCACUUAUGUUACACAAUUUGAAUUAAUUAAAUAAAACCUUGAACACUUGAAAUAUCACUAACAUGCAAUUAUCUGAUAUUUUUUAACUAAAACUGCUAAACUCAUACAUUCAAAAUAAUAAUAAAACGAUUUUUCCUAACAGAAAAUUAAGCUGGACAUGAAAUCUCACUGCUCCAAUGACAUGAGAUUUGUGUUGGGUUAUGAAGGUGAUUAGGGUGUCAUGCGGAAGCUUACAAUUGCAAAUCAUAUGAUAAUAAAUUAGAUGACAAAAACUUAACCAAAAACAUAAUAUUAUUAUUAUAUGAAAAACUAAUAUAAAAGAAAAUACUAAAACUGUUAAAAGAAUAAAUCUCUCCAUAAACUAAAAUCUCUAAGCGAUUACAUUGUGGAUUUUAUUGUAUUCUGCUAUGAAAAUAGGGAUAUUCUAGGUAUCAAACGGCAUUUUGCGUCCACCGAAAUUGGACUGUCCACCGAAACUGGCAUUUUGCGUGUGGGAGAUGCUAUUCUAGGUAUCAAACGGCAGUGGCAUUGCACCAUUACCGUUGUCAUUGUCGAUAGUUUUAUUUUUCGUUGUUACUUAGUUUUCGGUUCUUCUUCUUUUCUAUCUCACAAUCAUGGUCGAUAAUUUUAUCUUCCCUUGUUUUUCCUUCUUCUUUUCUAUCUCACAAUUGUCGUCGAUAGUUUUGUUUUCCGUUGUUACUUAGUAUUCGAUUCUUCUUUUUAUUCUUCUAAUCUAUCUCACAAUCGCCGUCGAUAAUUUUGUUUCCCGUUGUUACUUAGUUUUCGGUUCUUCUUUUCCUUCAUCUUUUCUAUCUCACAAUUGUCGUCGAUAGUUUUGUUUUUCGUUGUUACUUAGUUUUAGGUUCUUCUUUUCUAUCUCACAAUCGCCGUCGAUAGUAUUGUUUUCCGUUGUUACUUAGUCUUCGGUUCUUUUUUUCCUUCUUCUUUUCUAUCUCACAAUUGUCGUCGAUAGUUUUGUUUUACGUUGUUACUUAGUUUUCAGUUCUUCUUUUCUAUCUCACAAAUCGUCGAUAGUUUUGUUUUCCGUUGUUACUUAGUUUUCGAUUCUUCUUUUCUAUCUCACAAUCGCCGUCGAUAGUUUUGUUUUCCGUUGUUACUUAGUUUUUGGUUCUUCUUUUUCUUUUUAUCUCACAAUCGCCGUCGAUAGUUUUGUUUUUCGUUGUUACUUAGUUUUCGGUUCUUCUUUUUCUUCUUCUUUUCUAUCUCAUAAUUGUUGUUGAUAGUUUUGUUUUUCGUUGUUACUUAGUUAUCGGUUCUUGUUUUCCUUCUUCUUUUCCAUCUCAUAAUCACCAUCGAUAGUUUUGUUUUCCGUUGUUACUUAGUCUUCGAUUCUUCUUUUCCUUCUUCUUUCCUAUCUCACAAUCGUCUUUGAAAAUAAUAAAUUUUAUAUUUUAAAAAAUGCAUCGGCAAAUGACUAUAAUUAAUAAUAACAGUGAAUUAGGAAUUAAGUAAUAAGUUAUCACUUGAUUUUCUAAAAUAAACAAGUAACAAAUGAACAAUUAUUUAUAAUGUAAUGAAUAAAUAAAAAUGGACAAAGGGAAUAGUGGCUAGAAAAAAAUUCGUAAAAGAGUUAGUUGAUAUAAUACUUUUGAUUUUUUUAUCAGUACGUGAAAAUUGUUAUCUAAUGUCACUUUUUUUUUCUUUUUUUGGUUCACUUUUACUUGUUUUUAAUGUUCACCUUGAGCAUUCUAUAAGAACUUAAAGAAUGAAUGAUUGGAAAAAUGAUUUCGAAUAAAUAAUUAGUGUUAAUCAUAGUAACAGAAAAUAAAUAUUAGUUUGUUUAAAAAUGUUCACUUUGUGUUAUGUAAUUAUUUUCUUACCGAGUAUAUCAUAUGGGUUGAUUUAAAAGCUAUUUUUUUUUAAUUAUUAGUGAAAAGGGAAUAAUAUGUGACAUGACAUUCAUUAGGAGAGAGAAAGAUGUUUUUUUUGUGUGAAGUAUAUUUUGAGGAAAAUAUGCAAAGUUAGGUGAUAUUGUAGUCCUACAACAAACAAAAGUGAUAUUAUUACGUAAUUUUCCAAACAUGGGUGACUAUCUCGGGAAAUUACUCUAUGGGUGUUAUAUUAAACUUACGGCCCAUUUGACCAUGCAAUAUGGUAUCAUGAUAUGAUAUCAUUAUAUGGAAUUAUGAGAUGAAAUUGAAGUUUUGUUUGGACAUGCGAUAUGGAAUUUUUGUGUUGUAUAUUUUCUCAUAAGCGUAAGAAUCUCAUAAGUUGUAAAACUAUUAAAAUAGCCCCAAUUGUUUAUUUAAUCUUACCAAAUAAAUAAAAAAUUAUAAAAAUUGCAUAAUAAAUUAUUACAAAGCUAUUUGUUCUCAAUUUAAGUAAUUGUUUCAUCAAACUUUAAUUCAAUAAAAAAAAAUUGAACAUUAAUUGUAGUGUACUAGUCUUUAAUAUAAUCCUCUUACAUAGUAUGGACAAUUUUCUCACGUUGAACUUGCAUUUCUCGAUCAUGUGACCGAGAAGACGAACCAACAUUGUUACUUUGAGUUGUAAUAAAUACAAAACGGUAGAAGUGAUAAAUUAGGUUUUGGACUAAAUGAAGAGAACAAAUUUAUUACUUAGCAAUCGGUUGGUGUGAGUUAAAGUGACUAUAUGUAGUGAGAAUAAUAAAUUUUAUGUCGACGAGAAUAAUAAAUUUUAAAAAGUAAUGAUGUGAUUAUAUAUUUUAUUUACAUAUGAAAUAAAUGGUUAGGUAGAUAUAAAUGUGGGAUUGUUUUAACAAAAUAUAAACUUGUGGAUCAAUUUUUGUACUAAAAAUAUCUCAAAUCGUGAUAUGGAAUUCUCAUAUCAUGAUUUUUGGAGAAUAUGGAAUCAUGGUAUAGAAUCAGCGUAAAAUCGCAUGUCCAAACGCUGAUUCCAUCUUACAAUUCCAUAUCGUGAUAUGGUAUCGCAUGGUCAAACGCCUAGUUAGAGCUGACAAAUUUAGCUCAAUACAUGCAAAUUGUGGUACUGUACAGUGGGGACAUAAAUGUGAUUAAUAAAAUGUCAUUUGUUUUUUUCGUCGAUUAGAAUAAGGGUACAACUUUUGAUGGCUCACUUACAAGACUUAUUUAGCAGUAACCAGAGUAAAUACCAAAUAUGUCCUUAUGGUAGAUAGAAGUUAAAACACAUGCGAUUUCAAGUCUCAUAUUUUUAUUUUUUUAUUUUUCUUAAGUCUCAUUUUUUACAUAUAAGACUUAUGAUGGUUUUCAGGAGAGGUAAAGGUAGAUCCGACAUGACAUGCCUAAAAUUUAUCAAGAUCGAAAAUUAGAAUAGAAGGCUAAUAGUGUAGGUAAUUGAGCAUUAUUAAGUCUUUAAUUUUAUUAUUACUUGUUGUUUUCGUUGCUUCGGCUAUGUACUCUUUCUGAUAGCGGCUUAUUUUUUACUCUCUUUUUAAUUUAUUUGUCUGAUUUUUAUUUGACAUGAAUUUUUAGAAAGUAAAAAAAAAUUGAAUCGUAUGGUCUUAAACUAAAGAUAUAUAUGUAAAAUGCAUCAAAAUAUAUUUAACAUUGUGGCAUGUAAUGUGGAAAGUUAAAAUUAGAAAGUUACUAAAAAAAUAAAUAAGGCAACAAACUGAAACAAAGAAAGUACAUUAAUUUUUCACUAUUAUUUUUCUUUCAAUACUUCACAAAAUAAAAAUAUGAUCGCAUACACACCAUCUUUUUCGAACCUCACUGAGAGAAUAUAUAAAGGGUUGUAAAAAAUAUUUGUACAGUAUAUAUGAUUAGUGGAUUUAACCAUGCUCAAAUGAUGUUAGCUCAUAUAAAGGAGUGAAAUGACCUAAAAGUUAUUAUAAUUAUGAAUUCAACUCCAAAAUAGUACUGAACACUGACUAAAUUGAUUAAAGUUGUCGACAGCAAAGCCAAAAGGGUAAAGAAAAUAUAAUCAUAGGUUCAUUUUUCUUUUAUAAUCGUGAUAUUCGGGCUAACCUAUCGCACCUAACUAGUUUCACAAGAUAUUUACUAUCGGCUACCAUUCAGGGGAGGACCUAGAGGUAGUUGAGGAGGUUCACGGCAAAAAAUUACAUUAUAUAUUUGUAGGUAUUUUAGAGAGUUUUUAUGUUUAUGUAUUGAUUUUGAACUUUCUAAAUGUAAGAUUAAAGGUUGACUUAGUGAUUGAGGGGUUCGAAAUUCACCUAGAAGUUGUAAGUUCAAAUCAUAAGGACUACUCUUUUUUUUCCAAACCCCUUAAUGGAAAUUCAGAAUCAGCCACGUAAGAAAUUUAAACUAUAAAAUAUGAUUUUUCUACCUAACCAACUCAUUGAAAAAAUACAUGAUAGAAUACAGAUUCUCACUGAAAUAGUGAAGAAAAUUCUAAAAAAAAUUUGUAUGAAAACAUAAUUAUUUUUUAUUUUCUCGCCGAUUCAAUCAAAAAAAUCUUUGAAAAUAGUCAUUGAAAAUUUUUUUGAAAGCCAAAAGAGUGAUCUUUUAGUAGUGAAAACUAUUAAUUUAUUAUUAUUAAUAUUGUAUACAGGAAAAAAAAAAUAUUGUAUAUAGGUAAAUAACUUUUUAUUUUCCCCAGAAUUCAAAUUUACCUAAAGGCUUAGACAAAAUGUCUCUCAAAUAAUUAUAAUUAUUAGAAAAGGUAAAAGGGAAGGUGAAAAAGUACAAAAAGGAAUAUUUACAAAAUAAAAGUACUAAUAAUAAGACACCAAGUAUUUUGUUUCCAAAUUAAAAACAGCACAAAGAAAAAGACAGAAAACAACUGUAUUUUGAAAAAAUCAAUAAUUUUGCCACCCUCCAACAGAUCCAAAGUAUGAAAAACAACUUUCAAUAAAAAUCAACAGUUAUAUGUACACUUAUUUCUUCAUCCCAAUUCAUGUGACAAUAUUAUUGAUUACAUAAAAAACCUUUUUUUCUUUAAAUAUGGCGUUUUUAGUUGUUAACAAUGUUGACUUAUAGUAAUCUUCAUAUAAUUUUUAAAUAUAUCAAAAUUCACAUUAAAAAAAUAAAUACUUUAGCUCUCGUACUCUGAACGUUUUCACAUUAAUUGAACCACCAUUUAUGCAAAUGAUCAUUUUUAGGUUACGAUUUACAUGAACAAAAUAUAUUGGACUGUCAUCUAACGUCUACAAAACCUGCGAUCUAACGUUUUCUCAUUCAAUUCGCUCAAUAAGAUAUUUAAAUCAUCAUAACUUUAAAAAAAAAACAAGAAUCAUUUACUAAGCAGCUAACCGACGAAACAUUUCCUAAUAGGACAAAGGGAGGCACAUAAUUUCAAAUAUUUCAAAACCAUAUACAAAUGAACCAAAAAACCUUUGAAACAAUAAUUCAUUUGUUCUCUUCUUCUUCUACUUUGUGAUCUCUCUAAAUUUCAUUUUCUUUAACACAAUGCCAAUAUCAACAAUUGAUCAUCAAUAUUCAACAUUCAAAGAUCCAAAAAACAACACUCAUUCUACCCCUAAUCAUCAAUUUUCCAACACAAAUGACUCAAAUGUAUCAAAAAACAAGAAGAAAUUUAUGUCUAUGAGCUUUGGAGGGCUAGGAUGUAAGGGAAAAUUGAACUCACUGGUUGCGUCGGCGCCGGAAGUUAUUAGAUCAGCAGCACAAUGGGAGAGUAGUAGUAAGCAAAUGAGGAAAAAUAGAAGGAAAAAGAUGACAACAUUGACAACAAAUACUAGGAAUUCAACUAAUGUUGUUUGUUGUGCUCCUCCUGGUAUUGGUUCUGCUUUUGAUGUUGCUCCUAGGCCAAAAACAAGAUCAAAUAACAAAGAGGUAAAUGGAUUUAACUUAUAUAUACUGAUCAGUGUAAUUUACUUGCUUCGUUUCAAAAUAAGUGUCGCUAAUAAGAAAUAUGAGGUAUAGUUUAGUAUGUUACAACUAUUUAUUAGAUGUUUUUUGAGAAUUGGUUCUACUUUUGAUGUUUCUCCUAGGCCAAAAACAAGAUCAAAUAGUAAAAGAGAGGUAAAUGACCUUUUUAUAAUGGAUUUAAGUUAUAUAUACUUUCAAAAUAAGUGUCGUUUUAGCUCAUUUCAGGACCAUUAAGAAAAAAAAAGAACGGAUAUUUCCUAAGUUACUUUUAUUUACUAAAUAUUUCUUGAGAAUUGAGCACUAUUAAUGAGAAGAAGUUUUUUAAUACAAGGGUAUAGUUGGAAAUAAUUAUUAUUUGUGUCUUGAAUUCGUAGAGCAACACUUAUUUUGGGAUGGAGGGAUAUAUGUUAUAGUAAAUUACUUACCAUUGUAGUAUGGAGAAGUGUCCUCAAAGGGGGAUCGGGUUUAAGUUCCCUAAAAAGGGGUACAAGAGAGAGAGUGAGAGCCCCCGUUAUGUCCGGACCCUGUUGCACGAUGAGGCACUGCUUUAGAGUCGAGUAGUUUGGGAAUGUAGCCCAAAUCAGGCAAAUGAAUUCCGUCCAAGGCUAAAAACGGUUGAGAGACCGAUAGCGGGGAAAAAUUUGACCAGUUAUUACUAGCUAAAUUUCAAAGGACUUGAUUGUGUCAGUAUUUUUUUUUAUUUACAUCGUCAAUGCAUAAAACUUAAAUUCGUUUAUUUUACGUAUAGUAAAUGUGACUUGUUUAAAAGGAGUGAGAUUGUCUCCCCUGUUGUCCCUGGUUACAGUUAUAUAAAAGUCCUGUUAUGGACUUUAUAGGUUUACAACUAGAGGCGGUUUAGAAUUUGAACUUUAUGGAUUUUUUAUCACAAUCCAUUUGAUUUACUGAAUUCGAUAUCGACUAUUUGUAUUUGUUUGGUGAAUUUUUUAACACAUAUAUAAGGUCUGACUCAAAGCUACUGACUUAUCAUGAACCCGUAACAUAUACACUAGAUCCUAUCUAUAUCACUCAAAACUCUACAAAAAUACUACCACAUAUGUGUCAGAUCCUUCAAUAAUACACUACUUUUAGAGAAUCUCGUGACAGUUUUGAAGACUCUGAGCAACAUUACAUCCUGUAAGACCUUGUUGCUUUUGCUACAUUACUCCUCUGUUUUUGUAUGAUUAAGUUCAUCUCAAUGUCACAAUUCACUAAUAAAAACUUACUAAAUUGUGUAUUGUUUUGGAUUUAAUUCAAUCGAAUAGCACUCUCGUAUUGCGAGGAGAACGUCUACGAAUGGUGAAGCAAUUUCUAGGUCUCAUACGUCUAAUACAAGACAUCAUUGCCCUCGUUCUCAUCAUCGUCCUCAUGUAAGUAAAAAAACUUAUCUGCCCCUGAUGUUUACAUCAAUCCCGUCCUUAUUUACUAUCUUGAACAUUUCUCGUUAUCGUUGUAGAUUAUGAUACUCAGACACAACUUGCAAUAUGCUAGAGAUAUAGAAGGGGAUGAUCAAUAUGGAUCUUGGAGACUAGAUGUAGAUGAUAUGUCAUACGAGGUUCGUCUUUUAAAUAUACUGAUAGUGUAAAAAUUCUUUACCUUGACGAUAUAUAAGUUAAUUUCUCUUUACAAUAUAGUUUUUUUUUUUUGCAGCAAUUGGUUGAACUAAGUGAUAAAAUUGGGUAUGUGGGAACAGGUUUAGAAGAAGAGAAGAUAGUUGAAUAUAUAAGAAAAUUUAAGCUCUCAACAAUUGACUCAUAUUCAAUGCUAAUAUCUACUGAUAAAAGUUGGAGAUGUACCAUUUGCCAAGUGAGUUCACUACUACACUUCUAUUUAUUUAUUUUUUAUGUUUUAUUGGAGAGAUAAGAGUUGACAUCGUGUGACUAGGAGGUCAAGGUGUUCAAGUUGAGGAAAUUGUCUCUUGCAUUUAUGCUAAGUAAGGUUGCAUACAUUAGACCUGAUAUAUAUGGUACAUGGCCUUUCCUGGAAUCUCGUGCAUAGCAGGAAUUUAAUGUAUUAGGUUACCUUCUUUUUUUUUAGCGUAAUGAUAAGUAUUGUCGUCGUGUGACCGGGAGGUCAUUAGUUCAAGCUGUGAAAAUAACUUUUUGCAGAAAUACAAGGUAAGGCUGCAUAGAAUAAACUUGAUAUAGUUCAAACCUUCUCUAAACUCCGCACAUAACAAGAGCUUAAUGCACAUGAUUGCAUUUUUUAUUUUUAUUUUAAUACAAUAAUAAGAGUUGUCAUCGUGCGAUCACGGGACACAUGUUCAAAUAGUGGAACAAAUGCAAGAAAGGUGGUGUAUAAUUGACCUAGUGUAGUCCCUCCCUUUCCUAGAUUCUACAUAUAAUGGGAGCAUAGUGCACUAAGCUACCUUUUUAAAAAUAAAAAAUAAAAAACACAUAAAUAAGAGUUGUUGGCAUGUGACUAGGAGGUCAUAGAUACAACCUCCUCCAAAAAAUACAAGAUAAGAUUACGUACAAUAGAUCCAAUGUAGUCCAACCUUCCCCGAUCUCAUACAAAGCGGGAACUUAGUACACCGAACCGCCUCCUUGUUUUCCUCAAAAAGUUUAGCACACAAUAACAAAAUAUUACUAAUAUUAACAUUCUCAUUUACAAUAUCAUAUUUGCAGGAAGGAUACAAAGUUGAUGAUGAAAUUGGAAAACUAGAAUGUGGACACUACCAUCACAUUGAGUGCAUAAAGAAAUGGCUUAUGCAUAAAAAUGCAUGUCCUAUUUGCAAAAUUGCAGCAAUCUAUGAAAAUUAAUUCUUGACAAAAAAUUCUUUCACUUUUCUCUAUUUUAUAUUAUAUAGUCAAGAACAUUAAAUUUCAGAGGCAUAAAUUGAUUUUUGGUUUUAAUUUUUCCUAUUUUUGGUUUGUUAGGAGUGAGAUUGAAUGAUGUUUCUCUACUUCAAUUAUAUAUGUUUGGGUUUGGAAAUUUUUGUAUUAAUAAGUUUGUUAUUGAAAUUCCCCUUAUUUACUUAGGAGUUGCUAUGUCUUAGGAAUAGUAUUUCAAAAUAUUACAAAGAUAUUAGGGAUAAGAUAGUAAAAGACUUUUUUUUUAUUAUUAUUUACCAAACGCGUAGAUAAGCUAGAAAAUGCUUAGCCAAACACCUACCUCAUACCACUUCAUCAUCUCGUCACUUAAUGUAUCGUUUGUUUUCACCUGGUGUACGAUACUCAUUUAUUAGUCCUGAUUAAUUUAUAUCCGCACCACGUAAGACCAUUAAAGAGGGAGGUGUUCUUUUCAAGCAUUGGUUAAUAUUCUAAAUAAUAGUCCUAAGUGGUUAUAUAUGUAAAUCAUCCAAUCAAAAGCCAAUGGUCCACAAAAUGAUUGGGCUUACAUACACUUCUCAGUUUUGGGCCUAUUGGGCUUUUAAAAAUUAGAAUGGUAAGCUCUACUGAAUGCAAAGAGUAACGGUCCAUCAACAACAUAUCCGUUAUAAUCUCACAAAGUGAGGCGAGUAAUGCUCCAUUUCGGAAAAACAAAAAGCAUAUUAAAAUUGCUAAAUUGUUGUAUCGACUAGCGGUAGUAAAAAAAUUUUGACGAGUGAUCAAAUGUUGUAACUUUGUCUAAAAAUUUAGCCUCGUGGAUAACAAAAUCGCCUUUUAUUCGUCUUUGCUCAAGUAUAAACCUGAUUCGUACAUUACGUGCGAUGAGCUUUUUCCCCGAACCAAAUUCUAGGGGCAAUUAUUUUUUACAUGCACCAUCAAAUUAUCCUAAGAUAUUUAUAGGUAAACCUUCUUCAAAUAUAAAUUUUAUAAUUUUAAAGUAACAUAAUUACUUGUUAUAUAUAACACGGUUGUUUCAUUAAAAUAAAGUAAUGGAGUAGAAAAAGGAGAAAUUGAGAAGUAAAUUACAAGAUGAAAAAUCGAACAAUUACAAACAAGAUGAAAGUUCAGCAGCCAAACAACUAAAUUAUUAAUAUAACAGGUAAAAAUAUCUAAUAAUAUAAUAUAUUUUUCAUGGUGGGGGUCAGGGAGGGUGUAGGUUUGUAGUCCAAAUCACAUGGAUAGUAUCUAUGCUACUAUGGCAAUAAAAACAAAACUAAUUAGUACAUGAAGAUUUAAUUGUUGAUAUGGACAUUGACAAGAUGCACAAUACUACUUUAUUUUUUUUCGUUUUUUAUUUGGUGUCUAAUAUCUGUAAAAUAUUGGAUUAAGAUUUGAGUUGAGAAGGUUUUAAGUUAAAUAAAGAUAAUUAUGUAUAGAACCCGAACUCAUUUUCUAGUUAAGAAUGAAUAAAUAUUUAUCAUUUAGUUACGAUAUUUCUUAAUGCACACCAAAUAUCAUCAAAGAUUGUAGGAUGUGAUUAUAAGUAUGUAUCAAUUAUUAAUUAGAGGUCUCAAAUGUAAACUCAGAGUACAGAGUCAUCUUUAAUAAAGAAUAUUUUACCUUAUAAAGUGAAUUUUCAAUAUGGAUACAAAUAAAUCAAACUUAAAAAAAAAUUAAAAAAAUGAAGUUACCAAAAAAGUCAUAUUUAUCAUAAUUGCUAUUCAAAAGAAGUUGUUGAUGCAAAAGACAAAAGAAACUGGUGCUGGCUGUGCAAUGGCAAGGAGUCAGCAACAAGGACACUUGUUGGUUAAGGUUAGAACAACCUUCGAUUAGAGAUGAAUUUAGAAUUUUAAAAUUACUUAUUGAAAAUCUAAAUUUUAAAUUACAUUUUAUUUAUAAUUAUUUAAUCAUGAAUUAAGUUACUAUUAUUAUAUAUUAAACUUAAAAUUAAUAUAAAAAAAUUAUAAACUUUAAAUUUUGAAUUUAUCUAUGCCGAAAACUACUUGAUACCAAUCACAAAAGUUACAAAAACCUCGUACUUUCUUUAUGGUAAAAAAGAAAUCUUAAUUGGCUCUACAUAUUAGAGAUUAAUUAAAGGUGAGGUGCAAUUAAAUUAAUAGUACAUGGUACCAUAUCAAAUGUGUCGAGAAUCUUUUAAUUGAUAUUUUAUGUUUCACUUUAGACAUAAAUUUUAAAAAAUCUACCUUAUGUAAGAUCGUUUAAGUAAUAUAUACUGCCAGUGUAAUUUAUUUUUUAUUACAAAUAUUUAAUUUUAUGAUUUUGGUCCACUAAAAUAAAAGUUGAAUAACCAUAUAUUUGAAUUUAACAGGAAAAAUGUAGAAAUGUUAAACGUACAAUUGAUGUUGACUCAACAUGUGCAUCUUUUUUCAAGAAAAGGAAAGGUGGUGGACUAGAAUUGUAGUAGUAUAUGUAUGGCUAAAUUAAAGUUUCUUUCACUUUUAAUCAGAGGUUUCGAGUUUGAAUUUUUAAAAUAAAAAAAAUUAUGUUGAGAGUGUCAUCGUCUCCAGAACUGGAUUUUGUGAUGCAUGAAUUUGGAUUUAGUCAAACUCUAAUGCAAAUAUUGAAUGAGAAUACACAAAGAAACUCAAUGGGAUGAUACCAAUAUGGAUUAUAGUGGGAUAUUGUGAUCCUAAUCUUCACCCUUAAUCAGAGAAUUUGGAUUCGAAUUUUGGGGAAAAAAAUCAUGUGGAGAGUGUCGUUGUCUCUAGAAAUGGGUUUUACAAUGCAUGAAUUUUGAUUCUGUUGAACUCCAAUGCGAACAUCGGAUAAAAAAAUAAAUAGAAACACUAUGUGUUGAUAACAACAUGAGUUAUAGUAGGAUGGUUGUGAUCUUCAUCUUCACCAUUAACCAGAGAUAUCAGGUUCGAACUUCAUGAAAUUAAAGAAAAAAACAUGUUGGGAGCGUCGUCGACUCCAGAAAUGUUGCAAUGCACAAAUUCAAAUUUAGUCGAGCUGCCAGAAAUGUUACAAUGCACAAAUUCAAAUUUAGUUGAGCUGUAUUAUAGAUACCAGAUGAAAAACUAAAAAGAAAUUAUAUUGAAUGAUAUCAACAUGCAUUAUGACGGGAUGAUUGAUUGUAAUCUCUUUAUCCUUAUCAAAUAUUUCAAAUUUGAGCUUCUUAUAGAAUGAAAAGAUUCUAUUAAAAACACCUCCUUAGAAAUAGACUCUACAAUAAUACGCUAUCCAAAUAUAAUCAAAUUCUAAUACAAAUAUCAAUUAAAUAAUAGGAAAACUAUAUGGGCUAGUGAGUCAGAUUUACCAUAUGAUGAUUUGUAGUGGCCACAGUUAUGAACAUUUAAUACAUAGACAUGACUUGUUCAAUGUUGGACCAUUUAUAAUGUCAUGAAUUUUAACAUAAAAAUAUUUUUUUUCUCCAAAAGGGUUCUAGCCCCUCAUAUUUCAAAUAAAGAUCGCCGUGUGAAAAAUUCGUGUUAUUUUUUUGGAAGGGUGGGGGGAGGGGGUUGUCGCCAUUGGUUUACGAAGAUUUUAACAAAGAAGAUUCAUAAUAUGAAAAAGUAAUAUGCGAAGAAAUUAAGAAAAUUCAGUUCAACAUUGUUGAUUAGGUCAUGAAAUAUAAUAUAGAAUUUUUAUUUAAUACCUCUACCGUCCAAUCAUUGCAUUAGUGAUACAUCAAUUAUUUGUUUCCUGUACAACCAAAUAUUAUAUUAUUUUAUAUAAAAUAUUAUAUUAAAUUACUUUUUUUUUUAAAAUCAAAUAACCCUUAAUAAAUUAUGAUAACGAUAAAGCAAGAGAAGAGAAGAGAAUUUCAAAUUUGCCGCAAAACUUUAAUAUAAAUAUGAAAAGAAUACCAAAGAUUUGUCCUGUUAGGAAUUCGUAUAUAUUUGAAAAAAAAAUUCAACAUAAUCAUAUGUUAUUUAAAUUUACCAAGUCAAAUUAAUUCAGAUUCAUAUUGAAUAAAAUUUUAUUACUCCUAAUAUCUUGAAUUUUCACUACCCUGAGUAAAAGGGAAGUAGACAAAAAAAAAAAAAAAACACAAGGAAAUCAUUUUCUAUUAAUAUUUUGAUCUACUUAUAUCUCGAAUUUAAGAUUUCUCAUUAACAACGAAGAAAUUUUAUUCAUCUCUCUACACCUCGAAUACUAUUCCCAAUUCUCACUUUGCGGCAAUUCUUUGAAUAUUGAACCCUACUUAUCCUCUAUCACCAUCUAAGAUCCUUUUUCUCUUUUUUAUUUAGAAUAGGAAUAUUUUUUCUAUUUUAAUUUGUUUAUUUGAUUUUAACUUAACACGAAAUUUAAAAAAGUAAAGUAGAUUUUCAAACCUCGUAGUAAUAAUCUAAAGAUAUGUCAUGUACUAUUAAUAUUUAAUUUUGUAAUCGUAAACAUGUCAGAUGGAAAAUUAGAAGAAUUGCCAAAAAAAAAAAAAGACAUUUAAAAAAGUGGACUUAAAAGAAAAGUAGAUCCAAUAAAUUGAAACAGAGUAAGUAGUAGAUAUUAUUCAUAUAACUAUAUUUCUUUUGAUGACUAUUCAUUGUUUGGUAUUUGUUUCUUCCUUGUUCUUUUACCAAGUUUACAUUAUAAUUUUUUUAAAUUUUGUUUUCAUUUUAUUACCUUUGUUAGGACUAUUUAGAAAUCAUUGUUAAGAGUUGAGAAUAUUGUAAAAAAAUUAUAUAUAUAUAUAGAGAGAGAGAAUGAUGUCAGGACUACAUAGAAAUAAAAAAUAUUACAUAUAGAUUAAGAUAAAAACAUAAUUAAGUUAAUUAUAAAAAAAUAUAUUUUUAAAAAGGAAAGAGAAACUUUGAAGCAUGGAUUAAUAAACUUGUGACAUUUAUUAGUAAAUUUAACUCCUUUGAUUAAUAAUAAUGGCUUGAGGAAUAAAUGUUCUUAAUUAGUAAUAUGUCCUUUGGUUGAAGCUAAAAGAUCAAGCUGACUGCUCACCAAACUCAAAAAUUGGAACUUCACCUAACUAUUUCAUGUCCAAAUUAUUAUUUUUUUUAAUUUCUCGUAUCGUGUUCAGUAUUUAUAUUAGGAAUUUGAUUAAUCUGAAUUUUGUAUUAGUUAAGAUCCAUUAAAGGAAAAAUCGCUUCCUACUAGAAUCUUUUUUAUAUUUAGGACUCAAAAUAUGAGAUUAGAGUUCUGAUUAAAGAUAAAGGAAUCAUAUCCAUCACGUCAUAAUCAUCAUUCAUUAUGCCCUAGUUUGUUAUUUUCAUGUACUCCAUUUGUAAACUUAUUUGACUGGAAAAGGAGUUUUAAAAAGAAACAAAACUUAUAUUAAUUUGUAUUAACAUAUUUUCAAAUUUUAAAAAGUAAAUAGAAUCGCAUAAACUGAACGAAAAAGAGUAAUUUAUAGUUAAGAUUGGAAGAUGGAUGUGUUGGAAGUGCAUACAUAUAUAAAGAGUUAACUAGAACUAGUUAUUAUUGUAUAUUAACGUAAGAUCGUUACAAAAAUUUAAAAAUUCAAAAACUUUAAAUUCUAAAUUCAAUUCUAGAUUUAAAAUAAAAACACAUUCACAUCAGCUAUUUUUACACCAAAACACACUAACUUACUAUAGAUAAUUAAUAUAGUGAGAUGUUAACAUAUACUAUCUCUGCUUCAGUUUAUAUAACUCACUUUUUGUUAGUCAAUCAUAAAAAGAAUAAUAUAUUUCUAUACUUAAUAACAAUUUAACUUUAAAAUCUUUAUUUUAUCCUCAAUAAAAUGAUUUAUAGUUAUACAAACAUAUACUCUGACUUAUUUUAGAUCAUAAUUUCAAAAAAUAAUUAUUUCUCUCUUAAACUUUAUAUCAAAUCAAAAUACACUACAUAAGUUGGGAUGAAUGAUGAAAAAAACAUCUAAUGUAAGCACAUAUUAAAUUAAAUAUUGAUUUGUUAUAAACAUCGAAUACAAUUAAAUUUUUACUGUUGUUAUAGUUGAGAACACAUAAAAGAACCAUAAAUGAAGAUUCCCAAGAAGGUCAAAAUUUGUUAUAAUUGCAGUUUCAAAAUGAGACAUAAACAUGUGCUGGCUAUGACAUGGCAAGGACUCAGCAAAUUAAACUAAAAUAAAAGAAAAUUGCCAGCUUUUGACAUAAAACAUUGGGAAAGACAAUCCAAAUCUUGCAUAAACUGAUUGGUAUUAAUUACACAGACAAUUUUGUCAUAAACCUCGUACCUUUUAAAGUAUAUAAUAUUUAAUCUUAAUCAACUUUGUUAAUGAAGAUUAAAGAAACCUAAUGAAAAAUGACAUGAUAAUCAGUGAACAAAUAUUACUUUUAUGUGACUCAUUUGAAGUAGGUUGUUUGGUAGCAUAUGAGGAACUAUAAUGGUUCUGGGCACGAUUUGAAACUCGAUAGAUGAUAAACCCGUCCUUCUAAAGCUCGGAUAUGUGAUGUGUGACAUCAUUUGUUGCGCUCUUAUUGCUUGAUAGAAGUCAUGUGGCUCUUACAACUAGAAAUAUUAAAUACAAGAAUGUGAUCUUGUAAUUAAAGAAGUGAAUUAAGAAUCAUAAAGUCUCGGAUACAAAAUCUCAAUGGAGGCGAGGUUUUUUCUUCUCAUCUGACUAAGCAUUGGGGAAUAGAGUUCUUUGGUACCUAUGCUUUCGAAGAUAGCAAGUACCACAAGAGGUUAGUCAAGGUGCACGCAAACUGACUUGGCCACGACACUGCAGUUAUUAUCGAAAGAAUUAACACACUGUAAUUAAACAGAAUAUUGAUCCUAAUUUGGUUCUUACUACGAUAACAUGAAAAUCAGUGUACAGAAUAUUUACAAAACCAUACUAAUGAAUACAGUUGGUAAAAUAAAGAAUACCAACUUUGUAAACAACAGACUGGGAAUGAAGCUGCAGAAAUCACAAAUCUCGAGAUAAUACAGUCAAAUCUCUCUAUAACAACAUUUCACUGUAACAAUCAAGUUCUUAUUGGAGCCGUUAAAAUACAUGUUCUCAAUAUAAGAAUAUUUCAUUAUAGUAGCUAAACAUUAUCCAGACAAACAGUGUCACUAUAGAGAGGUUUGACAGUAUAUUGUAGAACGAGUUAUAUCGUCCUCCAUGAACAAAGAAACAACAAGAUUCAGAGGAGUGAAACUAACAAAUAUAUGCAGGGCAACAUAGCGAUAACUUUGGAAAUCCCUCAAAUCACGACUUUAUAUUUGUUCCGAAAACCAUACAUAGAACUGAGAAUGUACCAUAUGAGUUUGAAAUUUUACAGCAAGAUCUUGUACCAUUAUGCUUUCAUGGGUAAUAACAGCAUUACUUACAGAAGAAAAGAAAAGAAAGACCCCGACUUUCUUAUUACCUAUAACUUACACAUUCGACAAACCAAUAACAAUAAGAAUUCAAACAUUUAAACAGAAUAUUCAAGACAAACUGAACCAACGUUUCAAAAUUGCUUCUUUACGAUCAACUCACAGUUUCAUGCCUGCAAAGUUCUAAUUUUGCUGCUUCGAAUUCUCCACAGGGAGCUGAGAGGAAGUUUCUGCGAAACUUACUGCAGGGGGGGAUGUCAUGGUUUGAUACUGCGCAGCCAAUUGGGGAGUAAGAGCCUGACUGUAGUACAUCUUAGCAUGUGGAUCAGCAAAUUCAUAAGCAUAAUUGGUGGUAGUGGCUGAAGUAGGAGGAAUUGACUGAGAAGGAUGUUGAAUCUGAGAGUAGUUCACGUAUUGUGGCUGAUGCUGGCCAGGAGUGAUCUGAACUAAUUGUGGAGCCGCUGAAGCUGAAGUUCUGUAUGUACCAGCAACCAUUUCAGGAUUAGAUGACGGAUUAUUUCUAGCCGGAUUAUAAGCUGAUGCCGGAUUGACCAUAGUAGGAGGUGUUUGGGAACGAGUAGGAGGGACUGUUUGAGCAGGCUCGGUAUAAUUUGUUUGUUGCAAUGGCAAACUGUAACCUUGGCCAGGUCUAGCAGGAAUAAAGUAAACGGGAUACUGAUGCUCAAGAUUCGGGUGUUGCAUAUGUGUUUGGUGCUGUGAAGGGUACAUAGGAUAGUAGGAUGUCAUAGGCACAUGCCCCGAAGGUGUAUGUUGUAUAUACUGCCCAGCAUGAACAUAUUGUUGGGGUUGGAGCAUUUGUGGGUGCUGCUCAUAUUGUACUGGCAAUGCAUAUCCACCACCACCAUCCUGAACUUGUUGUUUCACCUGAACCCUUCCCAUCGAAUCACUCAUAUUCAGAUCAACUGAAUUACCUGAAAUCCUACCGCUCCCCGACUGGAAAUGAACCCCUGGAUCUUGAUAAAAGUAAUGUCUUUGCCUACCACUACCCUCACUGCACCAAAUUGAAUCAAAAUCUUAAAAACAGUCCCAAAGCAAUCCCGAAAAAAGACGUAAUGGAAGUACA